CUCAAAUUACGAAAAAUGUCAAAAGGUUCUUACAAUUGAAAAUAAAAUAGUAUUUAUACUAGGUCUAAAAAACUAGGUAAAAAUGUGCCUAAUAUUUCAAAUAUGGUAAGAAAUCUACUAAGUAUUAAAUUCUAUCAAAAAUAGGAAAUUCGUGAAAAAAUAAAAAAACCACGUCAAAUUUCAACCAUGCGGUCGCAUGGUGUAAAAUCAUGCGGCCGCAUGGAACAUUCGAAAAUCCCGAAUAAUUCCCUGCCUCACUCCAUACGAUCGCAGGACGGUUUUAACCUUGCGGUCACAUGGUUCUUCUCUCCAGCUCCAUCUUCGGCUACUUGAAUCGUGUUGGUCCAAUUGGUUUCGACCUUCGACUCGAACACGAAACUUGUCCAAUUUUGAGUCCUGAACAUGAUUUCAUCGAUGGUUGUCUUCACGAGUAAUCCCAUCGCCUCUUUUGCUCGCUUUGUCCUCGCUCGUGUUAUAGGUCCACCUUCGACUUUAAACGGAUCUUUUCCCGGGCUUGAGGUUGGACUUGAUUUCGUUGCUUGUGGCUCCUAGAUCACAUCACAUCCAUUAGAAAAUCCGUUGAUAAACGAUUCAAUUUUUUUAUUUAUUUACUCAAUACUUUUUUACCAUCAAAUUAGGACGAAAUUGUACCAAAGAAAAACUUCCGUUGGUAAUUUUGUCAUCAAUUUAGUAUGUAAUUUUUAAAAAUGAUAAAAUAGUAAUCCAUUUUUAAUUUGUCGUUAGUCUGUUGAUGAUCGCAACGAAAGACAUGCAUCGCUAAAAUAUCAUCUUUGUUGCCUCUUGUUCUAGGAUUGAUUUUAUUAAUUAUCCCUAAACUAUUAUUUAUAACACAUCACUCUAAAUUUAUUUUGAUGUGAAGUCCCAAAUUUUAUGUUCUUAAAUUAAUUGAUGUGGCCCAUUUAAGAAAUGAGUCCUGGAGCUUGGUCAAUUUAAGAUAAUUAAAGCUCGAAAUAUAAGUAGAUUUAAGACAUUAAGUUUAAAUUAAUUUAAAUGCAAAGAUUGAAUGGAUAACUAAGUGGUAAAAUUUGAUAUCUGCAUGGUAUUUCACUGUGUAGAUCUUUUUUGUAAAAUAUUUAAACGUUUUAGAGUUAAGAAAUUCUCAUUUUCCACAUUAAGAAAGGCAUUCUUAGAGAUAUGUUACAAGUCAUAUAAAAUAUUCAUUUUCCUCCAUUUUACAUGAAAAAUGAAAUUGGCUUUGGUUCACUUUAAAAAAUCCCGUUUAACUAAGCUCAAAGCAAUAGCACUGGUGUAAAGGAAAAAGGUUUCAAGAAAAUCAAGGUAAUUUGUUCUAAUUAUUUGCUCCAUAUGUUCAUGAUAUGUAUAUAUGUAUCACUGUGAUGUGUCUUACGAUUUUGAAGUUAUGAACCACGAGGUUUACGUAUGGCUAUAAUUGAUUUCUACGAUUAAAGUGAAUUCUUCGAAAUCGGUAUUCAUCUAUAUAAAAUGUUAAAUUCUUUUAUGUCAAUUUGCAUAUAUGUGUGCAUAUUUCUGAUCGAAAGGGUGUAACAAUGAUAUGUCCUACUGCGAUUAAAGUUUACUCUUCUAUAUUGAUAAAUUUAUAGAUUAAACGAUGGUCGAGGAAGUGGGAAUUAAAUGGACUACGAGGGAUUUGAAGGUAGAAAUGUGCUUCAUUUAUGUAGCUAGUCACAUUUGAAGAAUUCCUAGUUCUUACUAGUUAUUUCAAUUUCUGAAAUAUUAUUGUACCUUUACCUUUUUAAAGACUUUUUAGAUCUUUCUCAGAGUGAAUAUUGUAAUUUUAUUGGGCCGACAUAUGCAGUUAAUUUAUGCCGCCAAAGGAGUUAAGACUAAAUCUUAGACUUGUGAAGAUUAAAAUUUCAUGAACUUUGUCUCAUCACCCUGGACAAAAAAUUUUGAGUUUUUGGAGGAGAUAGUAAGAUAGGAUUGCCCUAUGAGUCCUCUAUCCAUAGACUUUGGAUUUAAGUCAUUCGGAGGUCAGUUGGAAAGGUUAGCUAUUUCUCGUGCACUGAGACAAGUUUAUCUGAGAGUAGUUGGUAGCAUGAGUUUGAAUAGUUCUUUAGGAUUUUUAUUUCUCCUUGUUACUUUGCAUCCAUCAAUCAUCCACAUUAUCAACCUAGGUAUGCAAGUUUAUUAAACAAUUUUAUGGAAAUCCAAAGUUAUGGAUUCACGAAUUUUAUUGUUCAUUGUAAAAAAAUAACACACAUAUAUUCGACUGUAAUAACUAUGGGAAAUAGAUGGCCAGAAGGAACCAACCAGCUAGAAGAAGAAGAAACAAUUGUAUCAGUGCUCUAGAAAAGAAUGUUUAGGCAUAUUUGGAUUUUGAAUUUGAUGAUUCCUUAGACUUGGAGGAUCAUGUGAAAAUUGUUUAUGAGCGUAGAAUGGUUGCUAAGAAUGCGGGCUAUUAGAUUAGCAAUCGAUAAGCCAUUCGACAUUUCUCGGAUCCUAGCACUGCGCGAAGAGUGUAUUUGCAUGCUUUUGAUAAAGGAAUUAGAAUCGAUAAUUCCAAACCGGGAAUCAUCGUGACAUAGGAUAUUUUGAUUUUGCAAUACUCUAAUAGAGUAUUAAGAAACCUACCUCUAGAAAGUAAUCUCACAUUCUAGCUCAUAUUCAGGAAUGAUAGAGAAGAAGGUAGAGGAGGACUCAAAAGAGGACAAAGAGGUGGACCCUGAAGAUGACUAAGAGAAAGGUUGAGAAUGGGGUAUAGAAAGCUUAUAGAAAGGUAAAUAAUCGUUGCAUUUUUCUUCUCAGUUCAUAAGAAAAAUUACAUAUUUCAAUUGUUCUGGUUAAGUUUAAGUAAAUUCGAAUUUGAAUUAGUACAAUUUGUGUAGGAACAAUGCUUGGAUUCAAAAAUCCAUUUCACUACAUGUUAGCGCCAUGCAAUUGCGGUAUUUUAAAUGAAGACAUUUUUGUAAAGAGCGCUCUUAGCUACUUUGGAUUAUAGUGAUUUAAGUUAGCUUCAACUUGAUCUAUAGGUGAUUUUACACCUCCAAGUCCAGAAAUCUCCAAACUCACGGCAUCGCUUUUUUUUUUUCUAAUUUUUAAAUUUAAUUCUAUUUUAAAAAUAUAUAGCCCUGUUUGACCCACAUUUUUUCAAACAAAUAUAUUCUUAAACAAUAAUUUGACAUCAUUUCAAUCACACAUUUUUUAAUAAAAUAAUAUCAUAUGCAAACCAAAAGCAUUUCCUUAUUUUUUAACCAUACAUUUUCCAUCAAUACACUAUUCAAAAUUGUGUCCUUAUGAAAAUAAUGUAGUUCAAGCAGCGGCAUAAUAUUAAUAAAUAAACAAUUAACGAGGUGAUAAAUGAGAAUAUUUUAAUUGGAGGCCAGUCCCACUGUCUCCCUUUUCCCUUCGUAUCCCCUUCUUGUCCACUUUCCAAAGGAUUUUUGUACUUCUAUAGAAUAUCUUGCCCACCUUGUUUACGCAUGCAAUUUGGAUAGAAUGUGGUUGGCUGUCACUGUCAAAAUAUUCUUUCUUUUCUUUUCUUUUCUUUUCUUUUUUUUUUUUUUUUUUUUGGGUUGGGUUGGGGGGGGCUAAUGAAGCAUUCCAUCAAAGUGCGUCUCUAUGAUUUUUUUGUACACAUAGCAAACUUCCUUUCCAUUUAUUCCAAUGGCUUUGGAUAGCAAAGAGCCACCCAUUUGUCUCCCCUAAUUUGAGGUCCAUAUAAUGAUUCAAGUACAAAGCAUCCAAUGGAAAUUUGUUCAAAGAACAAAUUUUUGUGCUCUUUUUCCUAUUCAAAGAUCAACCCCUCACUUGUCCACAAAAUAAAAUGAAAAAAAAGAAAAAAUGGUGGAAGGGGUUUGAACUUCCGACUUCCAACGUAAAUAUGUGCACUAUUUAUUUCUUAUGUAUACUUCUAUCUGACAAUAGAAGUAUAGUAUGGAUGUCUUGCUCAAAGGCUUCUAAAAUAUUCGAUGAACUUUUCAACCAUUAGGAGAAAAAUGCAAUUUGUGAUCUUCAAAUACUGACUUGGAUAAUUCAUUUAUAAAUACGAUUAAUCUGGAAAGGUUCUCGAAUUGUGGUAGGAGAUGGAAACAUUGGAAAAUCUGCAUUUUGAAGCAGCAGCUGAAGGAAAUGUGAAUACUUUAAAGAAGCUGAUUCAAGAAGAUCCAAUAAUUCUUGAUAGAGUUAAGAGUAAGAAUCAGAUAGUAAUUAAAAAAAAAAAAAACCAAUUGUGGUCAAUCCACAACUUAUUUAUUGACAAAAGGGUGGACAAUGGAUAAAAUGUUUUAAAUUAAGUGAUGAUUUAGAAGAGAAAAUAUUUUGCGGAGAGGGAUGAAGCGCCUAAAAUAAAUUAGAAAGAGUGAGAAAAGAGUAUUGGCUAGGGAGAACUGGUAAAUGUAUUGUGUCAAAAUUUGACAUGAAUAAAAAUGAAAAAAAACUUUCCAAAAUUCUGUGAGAUUCAAUAUUUGGUUAUUUUUUUGAUAAUCUAAAUUAAAAUUGACUAUUUUCAUAAGACGUAAUUAUAUUUGUACCACGAGUUUUGUUAGCUGCAUUAUAUUUUAGUGCUUGACAUUUGCUCAUAUCUUGGUUUUUUUUCAAAAUUUUUUCACUAUAUUCAAGUAAUUAACCUUUCAUUAAUUAGCACAUCUUAUCACUCAUGAUAAUUUUCAUCUAACACAUACAUUGGAAGUCAUAAAACGACUUAUUUAUCCCUUAUAUAUAAGCCAAAAAAAAAAAAAGUAGUUUGAUAAAAAAAAUCUCUUACUUCAAAGCACGUUUACAUACUAUUAACAAAGUACAUAUUGACUAGGCGUCGAUGUACAUGAUCGACGUAGUACGUUGUCCAACUAGUAGUAAAAAGGACUUGGCAAUUUAAUUUUAAAAACUAUUCCAUACGGGAGUUCCUUGAUAUGUUUGGAAGCUUCUUACUGGAUGUGUAAGAACUGGGGUCUUAGGAUGUGUUCUAAAUUAACAAUCUCAUAAAUUCAUUAUAUUGAAAGAAAUACUUACUGGUCGAAAUUCAGGCUAGUGGAUAGGUGCGCUUAUUUUUUAUAACUAGGGGUUGGCCGUUCUUAUUUUUUUCUAAUCUCUUCCCACCUACUAUUUUGGUUCCAUAAUAUUGAAAGACUAACACAUGUCAAAGCGUGUCGGCACAUUUCAGUGUUCAAUGCAUGUCAGAACAGACACGUAGGCACCAAUAACAUAUUAGUGCGACUUAUUAUCCCAACUAAUUUUCAUCACUCAAAACGAGAAAAAAUUCUGACUUUUUAUGAUCUUUAAUUCUUUUUUUAUGAUCUUUAAUUCUUUCUCCGGGUUGGCCUAAUGUGUUCCCUUGUGCAUUAUCUUUUUCUUCGAAAGUACCAAAUCAUGUUUAACUUUCUCUCUUUCCUUCGUGUUCGUUCCCAACUGAAGCCUGAUUGGUCACUCUUUUUACUUCUUUCCCUUCCCUUCUUUACCUAAUGUCGCCCCUCAACUUAUGAAUAAUCAAACCAAUGGGAUUAGCUACUUGCCCACUAUUAUUGGCUAGGUUCCUCUUUUCCUUGCCCUGUGUUGAAUAUGUAAUACUAAAACUAGAGCCCUGAGAAAUUUCUUCUCUCUCUCUCUCUCUCUCUCUCUCUUUUAAUAAUUUAUCUCCUAACUUUGGCUAUUAAACAACUAUAAUUAAAGUUAUGGUUAUCCAUUUAAUCAACUCUCAUUUCUCCCCCAACAUAAAUUAAUCAUCUUUCUUUCUUUAUUCCCACUUACAUAAGCAUCUUAUUAAUUAAAUAAUUUUUGGACUCUUAGCUAUUUCGAAUUACAACAUUGAAGUCAACUCCAACUUAAUCUAGGAGUGACAAAAUACACCGCCAAGUCCUAAAAUCCCCGAACUCAACUAAAUUUAUUUUAUUUUUUAUUUUUAAAUUUAAUUUUCAUUUUAAAAAAUCAAUGUUAUUAAAAUAUAUAAAUAAAUAAAAGAGGUGAUGAAUGAGAAUAUUUUAGUCAACAUCCUGUAAAAAUUUGUCCAAAAGAAUAAUAUUUUAGGCUUCCAUAAAAUAUGGACACAGUCUAUUUCUUACGUAUAUUUCUGUACCAAUACUUGUUCGGAGUUUUCUAAAAUAUUUGAUGGACUUUUCGACCAUUAGAAGAAAAUUUCCAUUUUUAUUCUUUAGAUAUUGACUAACGGCAGUCUUCAUUGGAUAAUUCAUGUAUAAAUACGAUAGAUCUUGAAAGGUUCUCGAAUUGAGGUAGGAGAUGGAGACAUUGGAGAAUCUGCUUUUUGAAGCAGCAGCUGAAGGAAAUGUGAAUUCUUUGAAGAAGCUGCUUCAAGAAGAUCCAAUAAUUCUUGAUAGAGUCAAAGUUAAUAUUCACUCUGAUACUCCUUUGCACGUAGCAGCAAUUUUGGGACAUAUCGAUUUUGUGAAAGAAAUCUUAAGACGAAGACCUGAAUUUGCACGAGAAUUGAAUUUAUGUCAAUCAUCGCCACUCCAUUUGGCAUCCGCUAAAGGUUAUAUCGAGGUAGUUAGAGUGUUGUUAUCAGCUAAUCAUCUAAUGUCCCUAGCUCGAGAUAGAAAUGGGCUGACGCCUCUGUAAAUGUUAUACCCUAGAUUCAAUCGAUUUAGGUUGUAAACGCUUUUAAUAUAUUUAAUGCAUUUGAUUUUGGCGAGAUCUAUUAUUUAGUUAAAUUAAUUUUGUAAUAAAUAAUAUUAAAUAAUAGAAUUCGAAGAUCCAAUUUUUAGAUAAUCUGUUAAUCACAAGGAAUUGUGAUUGUGAGAUACAAAUUACAUAUAACUGGAUCUUGAAUAAACCAUGGUCGUAAGUAAUAACGAGAUACGGAUAUUGUUAAUACAGUUAGACCAUCACGUGUGGCAUUUCUUACUUGUGAAGUAAGUAGCUGAUCUCACGAGCUAAAGUGUGGUGACACUUAAAUGAACACGUGGAUGUUUUGUUAUAGAACAAAACAUGGAGACCUGCUAAGAGAUUUCACAUGGAUAACUAUCUGAGUGUCAGUGGCUAAUCUCUAACGUUCGGUAGUGGAAUUGGUCCUUUGACUUGAGGUCGUCAUGGUACCUUAUAUGAGGACAGUCAUACUUUGGUGGUGUUGGAUGUUGCUCUGAAAGGGGCCGCUAAUACGAUAUCGUUCGGGUACGUCAAGAAUCGUAUGAAGGUUGUGAUUGAUUAGUAAAGGAUUCUUCACUCUUAGAUAGUAGGAGAUUAUGAUCUGCGUUUCAUUCAAUUAAGUCGAUGAUGAAAUCCUUGGCCAAGGUGUACUCAUAAGUCGAAAAGGAGUUUUCGAUUUAUAUUGACUUAAUAGUGGAGUGAAAGAUAUGAUCAAUGAUCGAGAUUGACACAAGUCCAUAUCUCGUAAUUGAUCGGAUCGUAUUGACGAACGGAUAAUGGUUUCACGAUAAACGAACGAAUUUGAUUUUGUCAUACCACGUGACAUUUCCCGUCACAUGUAUUGCCCUGACACAUUGCUAGAUGUCAAUCAGGGACGGCGAGUGUGAAUUGACGGAAAAUUAAAAGGGUGUAUUAAUUUAUCAAUUUUGAUUAGAUCAAAAUAAUAUUUCACGACGUUAGGCAUCGUGGUUGGGAACCUAAUGGGUCGCACACAAAAGAGAAUUAGAAGAUUGCAAAUUGCCAAUUGGUUAAUUUAACAAUCGUUGGAUAAAUUAAUUAAUUGAAUUUGUUAUUUAUAUUCCCGAAUUAAUUAAUUGGAUUAAUUAAUUCACGGACCGGAUUUAAUUAAUUGGAUUAAUUAAAUAUUGGACCGGACCGGACCGGACCGGGUCCGUUUGGGUUUAUAUAUAUACAUAGUUAGGGUUUGAGGUCCAUAAGAUUUUCAUUAUUCUUGCUGGCACAAGAGAAAAACUCUAGCAGUUGCAAUCUAUUCUUUGUGUGGAUUUCAUUGGAGGCUGGACAAUUGGACAGCUGUGGGAGACAGAUUCAAGCUGCUGGAAAGGAAUAACGCGAAGGAGUUUGCAAAUUACAAAAAAAGGUAUAUUUCUUAUCACAGUUUUUAUCUAAAUACAAAGCUGAAUCCUGAACGGAAAUUGAAAUUUGUUAAAUUUCGCUGUGCAUGUUUAAGUAAAUUUCCAACAGUGGUAUCAGAGCCAACUUUGUAUUUGUUAGGAACUGUUUAACGUGUUGAUUAAAUUAAAUGUUAGUUUAAUCACGUUCAUUCCUAAAUUUAGCAAAUAUAGUUUUAAUUUUUUGUCUUUUUGGAUCUGUUCUUGAAAAACAAAAAAAAAUAUUUUUUUGGGGUCGAAAGGCCGGCGGAGCCGCCGCGCGGCACGACAGGCAGUGCUGCGCGCGCGGUCGACAGGCGCAGCAGCGCCUCCGCGCUGCUGGUGGAGACGGGGGCCUCUGUUGCAAAUAAUAUAAUUAGGGGCCCCUGGUUGCAAUUACAAAAAUGGGAUCAAUUUACAAUUUUAAAAUCAGGGACCUGUUCUGUAAAUUUUGAUUUUGGAAGGGUCUGUUGUUAAUUUCCAAUUUGGGUAAAAUUUGUAAAAUUUCAAAAAGGUUUUGAUUUUGAAUUUUGAAUUGUUUUAAAAAUGGUUUUAAAUUGGGUUUGACCCAUACCUUAAUUUUGACUCAGAAUUAAAAAUUUAUUUAAAAAUUUGACGACUUUUAUAUUUUUGUUAAAAUUAGAUUUUAACUUAAAUAUUUAGUUUGACCCUUAAUUGAAUUUUAUUUUGUUAGGGAAUUUUGUCCUAAAUUAAAAUAUUAAUUCAAUUUUAUUAGAGUUAGACUCUAAUAUUAUAUUAAUUAAAAUUUGUUUUGAAUUAGCACCACUUCCCUAUGCAAAUUAGUACUUAGAGUAUGACUCUAAUUUAAUAAUUAAUUAAAAUUCGAUUUUGAUUAAAUUACUUCGCCCAAUAGUUAUGGAGUUAGAGUUGGACUCUAAUUCGGGAUUUAGUUAAAAUUUGAUUUAAAUAGGCCCGCCAAUUAAAUUAAUUAAUUAAUAUGAUUAAUUAAUUGUUUAAUUAUCUCGAUCCCAAAAUUUUGAUUUAAUUUUGACGACUGUAAUUGCUAGAUUUAUGAGACAUUGCAUAUAAUAUUAGAUAUUAUACAUAGGAAACAUUUAUGUGAUGAAUGUUUGUGAAUAAUUAUGGACUCGACCAUAUGGAUGUGUUGAAUGGUUGAUUUACUUCUUAUUGUUGUUGUGGGCCUGCGAGCUCCUUAUUAAAUAUUGGACCUGCGAGUCCGUUAUUGUUGUUAUUAUUAUGGGCCUGCGAGUCCGAUUUCUUUUAGGCCUGCGUGCCAACUAAUAUAAAAUACAUGUUGCAAGUUCGGCUAAUUGGAGGCGCAAGAAGAGGUGGACACCAUGGAGAUGGUGUAUUGGUAUUGGUCCAAUACUACACUCCCUUAGGAAUCGACCAACUAGUUUUCCUUUUGGCUCGGGAAAACUAGAUAGAACAAAUCCAUAAUCAUCCAUACUAUUACUUAUAUAUGUAUUUAUUCGCAUAGUAGAUGUAUGUUUAAAUAUAUGUAUAUAUAUAUAAUUACUUGAUGAGGCCAUUGUAUAUUAAAUCCCUCGUUAAAAAUAUUAAGUUAACAUUAUUUGCCUUCCAUCAUUAUAGUGAAAAACGAGAAUCCUAAAUCGACCUUAGCUUGUUGAGUACACUCAAGGCGGGUCUAUUAGGGAUAUGUUUGACACUAUGAAAUAUUUGAUAUUUCUGAAUGAUGGGUUUGACUUAACUUAAAUUUAUUUUUUGUUGAGUACACUCAAGGAGAUAAGUUUUAGAAGCAUGUUAAGCUAACACAUAAGAUGUGUGAAGACAAAAGAGUUGUCAGCUUAAUGAUCUGGGAGUUGUAUGGAGAUACAAUUGAUAAUAAUAUCUACCCAAAUGUUUUAUUGGGAUUUGUUGAGUACACUCAAGAUCUCGAUACAACAAAUGGGAUCCAAGCCCACUGUGAAUCAAGAGUGGAUUCAAAUAAUUUAUGUAUGAGGGUCAUGAAUUUAUUUUAAACAGUUGGAGCACGUUUAAUUAAAGUCCAUAUUGAAGUUAUGCACAUGCAUUAUAAUAUAUAUUAAUUCUGUGUUUUUUUCGUCAUUCACAGUUUUUAAAUCAUGAGUAAUCAUAUGAAUUUGAGAGGCAUACUGGAUGCCAACAAACUGACAGGACCAAAUUUUCUCGAUUGGCACCGCAAUUUGAGAAUCGUUCUCAAGCAUGAGAAAAUUGGAUAUGUCCUUGAGCAGUCCUUUCCAGUGGUGCCUACUAAAAAUUCCACUCAGGAAGAGGUGGCUGCUUACAACAAACACAGUGAUGAUGAUAAUACUGCAGCAUGUGUGAUGCUUGCAGCUAUGUCUCCUGAGUUGCAGAAGCAACAUGAGGGUAUGGAUGCUUACACUAUGAUUUUUCAUCUCAAGGAGUUGUAUGAUGAACAAUCUCGUGUGGAGAGGUACGAGACCUCUAAACAACUAUACCGGUGCAAAAUGGCAGAGGGAUCAUUAGUCAGUACUCACGUGUUGAAGAUGAUUGGUUUUAUUGAAAAACUGAGUUCACUGGGUUUUUUUAUCAUGGAUCACGAAUUAAGUAGUGACUUGGUUCUACAAUCUCUGCUAGAUAGUUAUUCACAGUUCAUUAUGAAUUUUAACAUGAAUAAGAUCGAAUGCACACUCCCUGAGUUGCUUAAUAUGCUUAAAACUGUGGAGCCCAAUGUCAACGCUAGCACUGGGCAUGUCUUAGCUAUUCAUUCCUCCAAGGGAACUAAGAGGAAAAUCAAAGGAAGUUUUAAGAAAACAUCUAAAAAGGCUAAGGGCAAUAACAAAGCAGUCAAAGCAGGCAAGGACAAUACCAAAUCUGAUGACCCAUGUUAUCACUGUGGAGUGAAAGGUCAUUGGAAGAGGAACUGCAAGGCUUACCUCGCAAGCUUGAAGGGAAAGAAGUCUUCUGAAGCUUCUACUUCAGGUACUUUUGUUAUCGAGGUUAAUAUGUCUACUUCAUUAGCUUCUUGGGUAUUAGAUACCGGAUGUGGAUCUCAUAUUUGUAUAAAUAUGCAGGGACUAAAGAGAAGUAGANNNNNNNNNNNNNNNNNNNNNNNNNNNNNNNNNNNNNNNNNNNNNNNNNNNNNNNNNNNNNNNNNNNNNNNNNNNNNNNNNNNNNNNNNNNNNNNNNNNNNNNNNNNNNNNNNNNNNNNNNNNNNNNNNNNNNNNNNNNNNNNNNNNNNNNNNNNNNNNNNNNNNNNNNNNNNNNNNNNNNNNNNNNNNNNNNNNNNNNNNNNNNNNNNNNNNNNNNNNNNNNNNNNNNNNNNNNNNNNNNNNNNNNNNNNNNNNNNNNNNNNNNNNNNNNNNNNNNNNNNNNNNNNNNNNNNNNNNNNNNNNNNNNNNNNNNNNNNNNNNNNNNNNNNNNNNNNNNNNNNNNNNNNNNNNNNNNNNNNNNNNNNNNNNNNNNNNNNNNNNNNNNNNNNNNNNNNNNNNNNNNNNNNNNNNNNNNNNNNNNNNNNNNNNNNNNNNNNNNNNNNNNNNNNNNNNNNNNNNNNNNNNNNNNNNNNNNNNNNNNNNNNNNNNNNNNNNNNNNNNNNNNNNNNNNNNNNNNNNNNNNNNNNNNNNNNNNNNNNNNNNNNNNNNNNNNNNNNNNNNNNNNNNNNNNNNNNNNNNNNNNNNNNNNNNNNNNNNNNNNNNNNNNNNNNNNNNNNNNNNNNNNNNNNNNNNNNNNNNNNNNNNNNNNNNNNNNNNNNNNNNNNNNNNNNNNNNNNNNNNNNNNNNNNNNNNNNNNNNNNNNNNNNNNNNNNNNNNNNNNNNNNNNNNNNNNNNNNNNNNNNNNNNNNNNNNNNNNNNNNNNNNNNNNNNNNNNNNNNNNNNNNNNNNNNNNNNNNNNNNNNNNNNNNNNNNNNNNNNNNNNNNNNNNNNNNNNNNNNNNNNNNNNNNNNNNNNNNNNNNNNNNNNNNNNNNNNNNNNNNNNNNNNNNNNNNNNNNNNNNNNNNNNNNNNNNNNNNNNNNNNNNNNNNNNNNNNNNNNNNNNNNNNNNNNNNNNNNNNNNNNNNNNNNNNNNNNNNNNNNNNNNNNNNNNNNNNNNNNNNNNNNNNNNNNNNNNNNNNNNNNNNNNNNNNNNNNNNNNNNNNNNNNNNNNNNNNNNNNNNNNNNNNNNNNNNNNNNNNNNNNNNNNNNNNNNNNNNNNNNNNNNNNNNNNNNNNNNNNNNNNNNNNNNNNNNNNNNNNNNNNNNNNNNNNNNNNNNNNNNNNNNNNNNNNNNNNNNNNNNNNNNNNNNNNNNNNNNNNNNNNNNNNNNNNNNNNNNNNNNNNNNNNNNNNNNNNNNNNNNNNNNNNNNNNNNNNNNNNNNNNNNNNNNNNNNNNNNNNNNNNNNNNNNNNNNNNNNNNNNNNNNNNNNNNNNNNNNNNNNNNNNNNNNNNNNNNNNNNNNNNNNNNNNNNNNNNNNNNNNNNNNNNNNNNNNNNNNNNNNNNNNNNNNNNNNNNNNNNNNNNNNNNNNNNNNNNNNNNNNNNNNNNNNNNNNNNNNNNNNNNNNNNNNNNNNNNNNNNNNNNNNNNNNNNNNNNNNNNNNNNNNNNNNNNNNNNNNNNNNNNNNNNNNNNNNNNNNNNNNNNNNNNNNNNNNNNNNNNNNNNNNNNNNNNNNNNNNNNNNNNNNNNNNNNNGACAGGGCAUGAACAUAUUGUCAUGUUGUUGUAUGAGUGUAUGUACGAUUUUGGAUGUAUUAUGUUGCAUUACAUGAUUGAUUGUGUUCCUAUUCUUGCAUCACAUUUAUAGUAUGAAAUGUAACUUUACAUGUCGACAAUUGUGAAUCCUUAUUUUCGAAUUACACAAACUUCUGAGUACUCUUCAAAUAUGAAAUUUUGUAGAAUGGUAGGUUGACUAGGGAUGAAGUUUGGUUUAACCCUUCUUUGGUUUUGUAAACUUUGUUUAUUUUGUAAAACAAUACUUUGAUUGGUGGUUGAUUGUGGGUUGAAUUCUGUUUUAUUCAUUAUAGAACCCAAUUACCAAAUAUUAUCAGAAUACUUGUAGUGGAACUUUAUUGGAUGCCAUUGGUAUUAUUAUUAAGAUAUGUAUAACCUGAUCAUUAUCUUGAAAUUUACUCUGACAUGUAACUCAUCAAUUUCGAUAGUCGUAGAAUAAACUUUAGAGAUGAACUAUCGUUCUUGAUAGUUACUUGCUAGAAUUCUCAAAGUUCAAUUACAAAUUUGAAGUGAAUUGUCAUAUGAAAAAUUUGUUGUCCUAAAUCCUAUUUGCACGUUAUGUACUACAUACACGAUUUGCUUUCGUUGGUGUGCAAUUCUAUUUAACACGUUUACUUCAAGUUUUAUGUAAAUAAUGAUGAUCUGUCUGUUGUUCGCAUCUCUCACCCUUGUUUGAUGUGAAUCAGGUUUUUAGGAGAUCAAUUAUUGACGUCGUGAUUUAAAUUUCGAGUUCUUAUCAUCAUCUGGAGAACAUGAACAACCAUCCCUUAUUUUGAAAAGCUCCUAUUUCGAUCUACCAGGCGAGGAUGAGACGAUCUACUAGGCGAGGAUGAGACUUUCUUCCAUUUUUACAAGGGUUAGACACAUUCGGUGAAUAACCAUUUCAACUAGGUUUGAACCUAGGCUUCUUAUGGUCAACUAUGCACAAAUAAGCACGUGAAUUUCACGUUUUGUAGCAUGCACGUGUGCGUUCAUAUGAUAGUACAAGGUUGUUCGGAUAUGUCCAAGUGUGGGUAAUUCCAUUUUCAUUCUACAAAAUGUCUUUGCAUUCGUGUGUAUACUUAUCGCUGAGUCAUUCAUGUAAUAAGGUCAUGUUUGAAGUCAUUUAUAUAUACAAUCAUCAUGAGUUCAAUAACCCAACCCUUUAUGCUUGGGAACCUUUUUUUAGUGGAUUUGUAUUAAAUGCAUCUCCAUGGACAUUCUUUAUUUGGAAAAUUUGUCAUAUGUUGGUGUAUAGUGUGAAUUAGUCCCCUAACACACUUGGCAUAUAUUCAAUAAAAUUGUAGACAAAAUCUUUAAUAAAAUUAAUUGCAUAGUUUAGAGAUGUAACAUGGCAUAAUUUCAAUUUGUCCAUUUUUUAAGAUUUCAUUGUUAGACUUUUGCUUUCGAACGACCGUAGGUUACAUAAGCUAUGAACUUCAACUUGCCUGUUUGUUCCUCUCUUAGGGUAUUCCAAUCGGACUACACUUGGCACUAGCUAUUGCUUCAUACAUCAUCGCGAUGGUACUUUUUCCCAAUAUCGAAUUAAAGUGUUUUGUUGUGUUGAUGUCGUGGUUUUUUUUUUUACAUGUUCCUGUUCCAACAUGUUGUCAAUUUUGAAUUAUAUCAUAACAUAUAACUGGACUCCUAAGGUUUUGAUUCCUUAUAUGCAUGGUUUCUACUAUGAAAGGUCCAUGUCAUUUCUGUAUUGACAGAAAUCACAAAUAACAUUCCACUUUCCUUGGGUUUUGACAACAGAAAAUAUUAUUUAUGUUCACUCUCUUUUCUCUGUUUAGGUGUAUGCAUGCAUACAAUCUUUCAUUUGAUAACACUCUGCUUUCAAUGGGAACUUAUUUUGAGAUACAAAAAGUUGGGAACUUCUUAGGGCAAAACUCUACACAUGCAUUAGCUUUCUUCACACACGUCGCGUUGAUGACUGAUGAGCAUACCACUGUAUGUCACGUGGGUGACUCAUGUAAUCAAUGCUUGUUUCGAAUGGUGUUAAACAACAAUUGCAAUAUCAUACCCUGCAUUCCAUUGCAUAGAAAUGGUGUUGUAGAUGUCAAACUUCUAUGUCUCAUGUGUUCAUUUCAGCAGAUUGCUGUAGUGUGCAGGCUACUUAACAGAUGACUGAUUGUGAAGAAUAUGUCGAGAUUAAAUGUCAGUAUCGAUAGAUGAACUAAUCAUACCGACGGUUGAUGUCAGUUUUUCUCGAUAUUUCACCUCACUACAAGCAUGAGUUCGAUUCAUUAUGUUUUACAUUUUUAUGUUUCAUCAUGAUCUAAUCCGUAUUUUUCUUGUUGUACCUUGUGGGAGAAGUGAAGUUUGAAUUCCUCUUUCUAGAAAAUGCCUGUUGCGGGUCACAUUUUGCAACGGAGCAACUUGAAGUAUGUAAAGACAAUCAUGGAGACCUUUGAUAAUCGACAACGAAAGGACUUUCCAAACUCCUGCCUCGACUUCCUGGUUGAGGUGCUUGAUAUACAGUUUUUUGCCCAGCUCAUCCAACAGUUGGUAUUCAGAUCCAUCCGAACUGAAAAGACAAAUGAGUUGUGGUUCAACGUUUAGGGGCACAUGAUGAGGUUUGGUCUACAAUAGUACAUGCUGGUAAUGGGUUUAACAUGUGGUCUCUUUCUAGAGGGUGAUCACUUUACUUGAGUACUGGAGAGGAAGAGAUUGAAUGAGAGAUACUUCAAAUCAGUGAACAAAAUUCAUAAUACAUUGUCUUGUACUUCAGUAUUCGACUUUGUAUUUCUACCUUCUUUGAGCUAAUUCAUGUCAUAACGUUGAGCAGCCGUUGCAGAAAUAUGAGCUACUUCAGAUGAGAAGUGGUGGCCUUGAAUAUAUAGAAGGGUGGGUGGGCAAAAGCACAACAUUGCACUGUUGAAGGAAGCAAACUGUUACAAAAUGUAAAACGGAUAAAUUGCGGGCCUAUAUACUAUCAUGGGCAGCGCAAGGAUGAACCUUUAUAUUUUCCAUUACUGUGUAAUAUUUUCGUCUGUUGAUGAAUUUGAUGUGACGUUGUUUCUUUGAAAUUGAGCAAAUUAUCGUUAAAGCAUUUAUCAAAACUCCAUUAUGAGAUGUCCGAUAGUUGGAUACUAUUUGAAAAAAUUAAACCUUGGCACCCGCCAAACAUGUUGGCAAUAUUAUCCAUGUGCUUGAAGUAGGUCUACUAUUUCUUCAUUUGAAUGUUGAAGGCGAUAAUUGAAGAUCAGCUGUGUGGGGUCAGUUAAUGGCUGAUGUAUGGAUUUUGUAGUACAUUAUUUAUUUUGAAGUGAAGGCAUUACCGUCUCACUAGUAAUUUAAGUUGCCAGUGGUGAUCGUAAUUUCUUAUUUGCGGAUCAAUGAGAAAGUCGUUCAUAUUUUAUGAUUGGGAUAAGAUGAUGAGUCAUUUAAAUAAUAUGCCAAAGCCAUGACAACAAAAAGAUUAAUUCACAAAUGAGUUAAUGUGAGUUGCAGGAAAAUUGAAGAAUCCAUUGUACACAUGAUUUAAGAAUUACAAUAUCCUAGUAUUAAUGGAGAAAUGAAGGAUAAAGAUACACUUAUACAUGUGAACCAUCACACCAAAUGCUUUUCAAAUUUAGAUGAGAUUAGACUUGCUGGUUAGGUAGUAAUGACAAUAAUUGCUUCCGCCCUUCAAAUUGAUUACAAAUAGCAUGAGUUCAUUAUUAGUUAUAAAGAAUCACUUCAAGAGCAUUGUGAGAAUUUCAACUCUCACAUACACAAACAAUUUCAGCAAUUUCAUUGCAUCGACAUAAUGAGUUUGUCCAUGGGAAGCAACGAACCAUCCAACCUGAACGAGCCUUUGCUAGUUCCCAGUUCCUCCCCAUUCUUUCCAAUCUACAUUUCGUCAGACGAUGAGAAAAUUAACCUUCGCACUGGUAGGAAAACCAUUUUUCGUUGUUUCUUUUCUCAACUUGGAUGAAAUUGCAAAUGAAAGGGCGCAGUCACCGAAAGAUGUGCUCGAUGGGGUGUUCGAGGUCAUGGCUCGGUAUGAAGAUGAAUGAGAUGACGAAGACUGGUUGGCAUACAUUCCACAAAAUGAGGUAAUUGUUAUCACGUCGGAUAAGUUAGAUGAAGAAAGUGGGGAAGAAGGUUCUACUAUUGACGUUGAAUGACGUGGACACAAAUAAAACGUAUUGUAAUAAGUUAAGUUAUUUAUAGUAUUUUUUGUAGGGAUGAAUUUGGUAAUGUCUGUACUAAAAGUUCAGCUUGAGCAUUUCCUUUAUGUCCCUUACGUGUAGUGUAGUUUUUGUACUCCAAUCAAAGUGUCGAGAAUGACGGAGACAAUCUGUCAAGAAUGAUAGAUGAACUGUCGAGAUGUCAAGCAAUAUGCUAUCUAUGGAUUUGUAUUUUGCUAAUGAAGUAAUUAAUGUGUUUGCCAGUUUGUGAACGAUAAUGGAAUGAUAAUGACAAUGUAAGUUGAAGAUAAUAAUGUUGAAAAUACCGAAAGUUGAAAAUAACGUUAUGACAUGUGGGUAUGCUUAAGUGAAAAAUUCAGUUUAUAAGCAUGAUAAGUAAUGAAGAUAAGGAAAAAGAACCAUCUUCACUGAUAUUUAGAAAAAUUUCCAAAAGCAGUCAAACGGUUAAAUUGUUCUAAGUAAUUCAUUCCAAUUUUGCUAAUUGUCCUUCUCCUAUUCUCCGUGGUCAUACUAUUUAACAUUAGGGAUGUUUAUGAUUUAUGUGUCAAUUUAGGCCACUGUGCUCCCAAUUUAUUUCGUGGAGAUGAAAAUUAGAAUUUUUAGUAGACUGUGAUAGAAGGUGCUGAUUUGUAUGGCUGAAUUAAUUUGAACAACCAUAGAGUUGGAGUACCUUUUGUACAUUUUUAAAGAAUCAGCAAUUUAACUCGUUUGUUAUCCUUACACUUUGUUAAGAAAUUAAUAAUUGACAUUUUCUCUUAUCUAUAUUACGUACAUCCACCUUUGCUUUGCAAUCAUCUGUCGAGAAUGAAAAGAACAUUUGCCGGGAUGUUGUGCAGGUUCUCAACAUUGGUUUAUGUUCAUUUUAUGCCAACAUAAGGAGCAAUAACAUCCACAAAUGAUAAUGAAAACAAAAUGAUUAUGUAACUUGAUAUUCUACAACGCAGUAGGGAAACCUUGAACAUACCACGCACAUUACGACACUACGAAAUAUUAGAUAUUCGACAAGAACAGAUGUAUUCACAGUUGUAAUCCAGUCGUAUCUGUCUGAAGACAUGGAAGGAGAUGACAUUUGAUUGUCAAUUUCAACAAUAUCAGCAACCUCUAUAUCGUGUAAUGGGCUGUCUAAGUUCUCAUUUAAUUAUUCAACCUUGACAUUAUCAAUUGGAGGUUCGGGUGCAUUGUUGUUUCGCACACUAUGCUGAUGAUUGCAAACAAAUUCGUUACCGAAUUUGCAUCCAUUCCCAUGUCGACACUCGAGAGCUCGAUUUCCAAAAUACUAAUGCAGAGUACAGUUCCCUUAUGAACAGAUAUGUACCAAUUUAAUUCAUCUUUGCGUAUUUCUGUCGGUGGUAUAUUCAAGUUCGGGACUACUUCAAUGCGGGGUUGAACAAUACCAAGUUUGUCCUUCAACCAAAACACAAGUUCGGCUACUACAAUACUUCUUGGUGAUAAAAUGGAAGUAGUUUUGUCCCCUUUCCACUUCCAUUCGCCAUCCAUGUGAACAAACUUUCCCCCAUGUAAUACGAUGAAUCUCAAAUGAUCACUAAUACUUGAAAUGUUGGGAUUCCAAAGGUAAGAAUUCUACACAUUCGGUAUGUCGACAUUUAAUACCAUAAAAUUUGAGCUUUUAAAUAUUUAGAUCCAUGUAAUAGCAGAAAGGAAAAUAAAGGGUUUAACAGUUUUCAAGUGUCAAAGUCGACAGUUAAGUUUUCUAUCCCGACAGUUAGUAAAUGUCGAGUUCGACAGUUUAGAUGUCUAACCCGACGAUUUUGAUGACACUAUUCGACAGUUGAAGUACCAUAAAUUUUAGGGCAGCUUGAAAACCAUGUAUUUGGUUCUUUGUAAGAAAUUAUUGAAGACAUUAAUGGUGAUCAUUUUCUUGCUUCUAUUCUUCACAAAUAAGCAUUCAAUACUUACUACACACUUGGAAGUAAAAGGUUGCGAAAAUACAUAGAUAGACCAUACUCCAAUGUAGAGAAGUAUGUAUAACAUGGGUGUAUAAAGAAAAGGCUAUACAUGUAUGUAUGGCUCAACAUGGCUACUAGGGGUUGUAAUUAUUGGAAAAGAAGGCUUAAAAGGCUUAUAUGUUAAUCCUAAAUUGACCUUCAUCAUUUCUUAAGUAACUUACCAUCUUACCAAAAACCAUAUAUGCUUAUUACUAUUUUAGUGUAAGGUGGCUCUCGAUCCUCACUAACUCUCAUAAAAAAACUUUAGCAAGAAACUAUUCUAGCUACAUUUGUUAAACUACUAUCUUAUCACAAGGCUUGUGUGUGCAAAAACAUUCAGCAAAUGUCUCAACAUCCAAACUUUCAUAAACAAUAUUAAUUCCUAAUGGCAUCUAUUGUCAUUAAAGAAUAUGUAGCGAAUUAGGGACUUAAAAAAAAUAGAGCAAGAUUCCAUGUAAAUCAUGAAAUUCACAACAAAAUUUAAGUUAAACACUCCCCCCCCCCCCACUAAACAUUGCAUUGUCCUCAAUGCAAAAACAUGUCUGCCAAAUAAAGGUAAGGAAAGAUGUCACUUGAGUGCCGAAGUGAAUCACGUGAGCUGAAGUAUAAAAAUUCUGAAAGUUUUCAUUGGAAAGGGUGAUACAAAAAAUGAAAAUAAAAGAAAUACAAUGAAUAAUGUAUGGACUAAAACUAGAGAGAAUACAUAAAUGAAAAUAAAAAGAAAGAGAAGGGAACGAAGUCCCCAUGGGUUGCCUCCCAAGUAGCACCUUUGUUUAUUGUCAUUGGCUCGAUCCAAUAUUGUCUUCUUCAGCCUGCAUCCAGCCAGGGCGUUGUCAACCUUCAGCACGUUGCACCAAACUCAUUGGAAGUAGUCACUGGUGGUGUCCCAUAAUCUUGAAAAUCAUUAAAAGCAGCAUAAAUAUCAGCAUAUUCCCCAUUAUCAUACCUUGCGGGAAUUCCAGAAUUUAAAAAGAAAGAAUUUAAAGGGUCCGGAUCAAUAAGCUCAUGUGCUUCCUUCUCAAUGAGUGCAUCAAUCAUGUACGUUUGAUGACACUUAUCAUCUUCCUCAGGCUGUUUCAUGACAUGAAAGAUGUUCACAUCUAAGGUCAUGUUCCCAAAAGAUAGCUUCAUCAAACUAUUCCUGCAAUUAAUAAGAGCCUUAGCUAUAGUGAUAAAAGGUCUACCAAGAAUAAUGAGAAUCUUGGAGUUAACAUUCACAUCCAAGACCAAAAACACUACAGGGUAGCAAAAUUUGUCAAUCUGUACUAGCAAAUCCUCAACUACCCCCUUAGGUCUAAUAGUGGACCGAUCAGUCAAUUGUAGGACCACUGUAGUAGGUUUGAUCUCACCUAAACCUAACAACAAGUAUAUAGCAUAAGGCAUGAUAUUGACAGUAGCCCUUAAGUCAAGGAGAGCUUGUGCAAUCUCAUGGUUUUCUAUGACACAAGAAACAGUAGGACAACUAGGGUCCUUAUACUUUGGCGGGACGUUUUGUUCAAUUACGACACUCACAUGUUUAGCCAAGAAGGUAGUUUUUUUGACAUGGUACUUCCUUUUUACAGUACACAAAUCCUUAAGGACUUUAACAUAUGUGGCGACCUGGGAAAUCACUUGCAAGAGCGGUAAAUUGACUUUUACUUGCUUGAGGUGCUCUAGGAUUUCAUUGUGUUGACUAGUAGAUUUCGAGGUCGACUUGAGGGCUUGAAGAAAGGACACUCUAGAUGGAUUUUUCACUACCUCCUCACUAGGGGGUUCUCUCUUCUAUGCUACUAGGAUCCUUUUCACUUUCCCUAAGUUUAGGGAUUAGUUCUAUGACUUUUCCAGAUCUAGUGGUUAUGGCAUUCACUUGCUUCAAGUUGGUCUAUCAUAAUCCUUAAGUUUGUGCCAUGUGUUACCCCCUAGGGUUUGGUUGGACUUGUGCUGGGAAUUUUCCACGCUCUCCUACAACUAAGGCACUAGUUAGUUUGGACAAUUCUAUGAGAUUUUAUUUUCUUGUUUUCUUCAAUAAUUUGGGUAAUCAUAGUCUAAAAACUUUUGGUUAGUCUUAGUAUGUGCCUCUAUAAAUGCAUAUAGUGUGUCUUCUAAAGAGUUUCUAGGGGAUGUGGGCUAAUAUGGAGAUGUAAUGUGAGAGUUAUUUGGUUGGCUUUCAGAUUUUUAGCUAAGAUCCGGGUGAUUUCGCCACCCCAGAUUGUAUGUUUCAGAAAAGGGAAAUAAGGCUUUUAGUAUGUGCCUAAAGCAUUGCAGUGUUCCUCAUAAACUCUCUUCAUCUCAGAGUAGGUAGCGCACUCUUAAGUUGGAUGAUCAGUUCUAGGACAAACAAAACACGGUCCUAAAGAUUUAAUAUGGGAUGCAUUCUGUGUAGGCUUUGAGUCCUUAAAACAUAAGAUUUUGAGUUCUUUAGUAAGGGCAUCUAUCUUGGUUCUAAGGUCAUCCUCCUCUCUAAGAUGAUAAAUACCUGUGCUAGUGGUGUUUCUGAUAGGUCCUGACCUAUUAGUGCUCUCAGUGGCACUAGGUCUAGUCCAGGUAAGAGCCUUUUCAGCUAAGUCAUCUAGGUAAUCUAUGGCCUCAUCCGAAUCUUUUUACAAAAAUUCCCUAUUACACAUCAUUUCAACAAAUCGACGCUCCCUCGGUAAUAAUCCCUCAUAGAAAUAACUCACAAUGCGCCAACUUUCAUAACCAUGGUAGGAGCAGAGAGCUUGCAAUUCUUUAUACCUUUCCCAUGCUUGAUAUAAAGUUUCACUCUCCUUUUGAGAAAAAGAAGAUAUUUUAUUUUUCAAUGCGGUUGUUUUGUGGUUACCAAAAAAUGCUUGAGUCAUUUUAGCCCAAGUCCUAGUCAAGCGUGGUCUCAAUGAAUAUAGCUAGCUUUUUUCUCUUUUUUAAGAGAGAGUGGGAAAAAUUUAAGCCUCGCUGCAUCUAUUGUACCUCGUUGAUUGUGAAAAGUCACAAAAUCUCCUCAAAUUCCCUAAUAUGCACGUAUGAGUUUUCAUUUUCAAGACCGUGAAAGGUGGGAAGAAGUUGGAUCAUUCCCAGUUUAAGGUCCAUAUAUUGCAUAUUAGGUGGAAAUAUGAUGCAUGACGGUGUAGAUGUGCGCGUGGGAUGGAGAUAAUCGUGCAAAGUUCUAGUUGGUACCUCUUUAUGUUCAUUGUCAGUCAUGGUGUUAUAUGAUAUAAUGUGUGUGCCAACAGAUUCAGUAUCAAAAAGAGGGUUAGAAAGUGAUUCAAACCCUAGUUGAGGUCUUGCAAUGAAUUUCCCUCGCUCGUCUCGAUACCUGCUCAUAAAGCACAAAAAUGCAAAAAUAUGAGAAAUAAAAAAUACAAUCAAAAAUAAACAACAAACCAAAAACCUAAAAGAGGAAGGAAGUCACCCUUUUGCACGAAAAUUCUUUAAUUAUUUGUACUAUCUCCUCGGUAACGAUGCCAAAAUUUGAUUAUGCCCAAAGUGUAAUGCGGUGAUUGUAGUAUAGCUUUGGAGUGUCGUAUCCAAAGGGAGAUGGGAAAUUAAUUAACGGGUCCAACAAACUAGGAUUUUCAUUGUGAGCUGUAUAACUGAUAACAUAUCAAUUUGUAAUGUGUUCAAAUGUUAAUAUGUGAAUUUACGGGAUUUGAAUCAAAGUAUGAAAUAGUGAAGCGCUGGAAUUCCCUCGAUUGGUUCGAAUCAUUCAACAUCAAUCAUGCAUUCAUGUACUCAAUUAAAGAUUUCUCAUCAAACUUUAAUUGGGGAAUAUAACAUUAAGGCCCAAUUUUAUUCUACAGUAAUUCUAAAAUAUAGAUUUCCUAUAACGUAUACCCACUUUAAACUAUUGAAAUUCGAUUCUAAAUCCACCUUAUACAUCAAGCAUAAAAUCGUAGAGAAUCACACAGAUAGAUAAUUAAAAUUGAAAUUUAACAAUUAGGUUAAUUUCACGAUAGAUAAAACAUGAUUAAAUCUAUGCGAAAUAUAGUAGAAGUUAAAAAUCAAUCACACAACAAUGCUUGAAAUUGAAAUUCAAUACAUGCUUCAAUUAUUCGAUGGAAAGAACAUGAUUAAAUCCAUGAAAAUCUAAUAUAUAUUCAAUCAAUUUCAAAACAUAUUUAUAUGAAUAAGAAAUCCAAAUCUUGAAUUGUUGAGCAAUGAAAAUCAUAUUACAAUCAUGAGAAACGUUGAAAUAAUCGAUACCAAUCGAGCUCUUCCCUUGCUUCACCAAGGAUUUCUACCCUUCCAUGGAGUUCCUUCACCUAAGAAGAGAGAAAAUUGAUGUGGGGAGGAAGAAUGGCAUUCUGGGUCGAGACUAGGCCUUAAAAAUGUUUGCCAAACAAGUUUCCAUAAGCGUCCGCGUCAAAAUAGGAAUUUGAGAUUUCGCCCCCGAAAAAUACCCAUGCAGCCGCAUGGUUAUAAGCCAUGCGACUGCAUAGUUCAACCAAAAUGGCCCCAAAAGUUCUCAGAAGGCAACCUACACCAUGCGACCGCAUGGUUGUUACCAUUUCUUCCUCUGGACAGUUUUUAGUAUUUUGGCCAUAAUGUUUCCUCCUGAUGUCCGACUAAGGUGAUUCAAGUUGUGUUGGGUAGCUAACAUGAAGGGCUACAACUUUUCUUCAAAGUCAUCUUCCAAUUCGAUCAAUUUCAAUGUCAAAAAUGGGUGUCAACAUGAGGCUAAAAAUCGGUGCGGAACUUUUUUCAAUUGGGAAUUGAUUCGUGAAGAUGUUAUGGUCAUAUUUCACUUCUUUUGACUUCAAAUUACACCCAAUUGACUCCUAGCUUUUUUGAAUCAUCAUUCCAUUACCCGUCUCAUCUAUGUAUUAUUUGCAACUUGGUUCCUGAACUUUCACUUUCUUCCACUUUGCCCCUUUUUACUCAUUUCUUCCAAAUUUCAACAUUUUCUAUCAAAUUGCAGCCUAGAUCAAAACAUAAGAGUAAUGACUGCAUUUCAACAUCAAAUAAUCAUAAGAAAUCAUUAAUUAAGAGGGAAAAAUAUUAUAUUUUACACUCUUAUCAGACGCUUAUUUGAAGUGCCUUGAAUCAGACAAGUUUGAGACUAAAUCCGAUAGAUACAUAUUUGUGGGAUAUUCAAAGCAGAUAUUUGGAUAUCAAUUCUAUUAUCCCAUUCAGUAGAAAGUCUUCUUCUCAUGACAUAUCGUCUUCUUAGAGAAAAAGGUUUACUCUGUAAGAGGACGGUGGGAUCAAAAUAGAACUUGAAAGAGUUCAAGAGUCCACAGAUAUAGUUGACCGAGUAGAUGAAUCCGAGUUUGAUCCAACAUACUCUUAAUCAAGAAGUAGAGACUUCUAUGAACAUGACAACUCCAUUUAAAUCUAGUAAGAUCAUUUAACCUUCAAGAAUGUACGAAUCCACGGUUACUAAUCAAGUAUUAUUAAUCAAGGAUGAUGAACCUCCUAAUUACGCGGAAGCAAAGUCAAGUGUUGACUCAAAUAGAUGUCAGGAGGCCAUGGAAAAAUGAACUCAACGUAUGAAAACAAGGUUUGGACCUUGUCGACCGUCUUGAUGGGAUAAAACCCAUAAAUUGUAAAUGGUUUACAAGGAAAAUGUUGAUAUGGAUGGGAAUAUCCGUACAUACAAAACAAGGCUAGUAGCAAAAGGUUAAAAAUAAAGACAAGUGUUGACCUUGAUGAAACCUUUCGCCUGUAGCCGUGCUUAAGUCCAUUUCGAUUUUGGUUCCAAUAGUUACAUACCAUGACUAUAGGUUAAAGCAAGCUUCUUGGAGCUGAAAUCUUCGAUUUGAUAGAAAAAUCAAAAGGUUUGAUUUUAUCAAAUGUGAAGAUGAAUUGUUUGAUUGCAAGAAGAUAGUGGGAGUAUUUUCCCAUUCUUAAUAUUAUAUGUAAGACAUAUUAUUAAUAGGAAACGACAUCCCUACAUUCAAUCAUUGAAAUUGUGGUUGUUAAAUGAUUAUUCAUGAGCGACAUGGGAGAACUGAUCUAUAGAGAUAGAUUUAGAAGAUUGCUUAACUCAUCCCAAUCUACAUAGAUAAAAUCUCGAGAAAAUUUUAUAUGGAGAAAUUGAUUUACUCAUAAAUGGUGUGUUGGAAAGGUUCCACACAUGAAACAAUCGUUGAUUCAAUAGUAGAAACUUAAUUUAUGAUUGCUUUAUAAGCAGCAAAGAGUUGCAGUGUGGAUCAAGAUAUUCAUUAAUGAACUUAGAGUAGUUCCUAAUAUUAUUGAUAACAUGCCAUUGUAAUGUGAUAAAAAUAGAAGCAUCGCGCAAGUGAAGGAACUAAGGUCUCAUCAAUAACCCAUACAUGUGUUAAGAUAGUAUCAUCUCUUUGAAAAGAUAAUACAAAGAAAUGACGUAAAGAAAUGAAUGAAUUCUCACAAUUGAUAAUAUUGCAGAUCCACUGACAAAGAGCUGUCGCAGUAUAAAUAUAAUCGUCAUGUAGACUCUUAUGAUAUAGAUACACAAUUGAUUGGAUCUAGUGUAAAUGGGAGAUUGUAAGUGUUAUGCCCUAUGUCCAAUCGGCUUUUUUGGACAUAAAUAUUUUUAAUAUAUAGUUGAUGGGAUUUAUAGUAGAUCUAUUAUUUAAUUAAUUAAUAUUUAAUUGAAUUAAAUAAUGGAGUCCAUAUAUUCAAAUCUUAGAAAUUUGUUAAUGACAAAGAGUUGUGAUUUUAGCUACAAAUUACACAUGAUUGAAUCUUAAAUCAUCCAUGAUCAUUAGUAAUGAUGAGACACGAAUUUUGUUAUUACGGAUAGACCAUCACGUGUGACAUUUCUUACUUGUGAAGUAAGUAGCUGAUUUCACAAGCCAAAGUGUAGUGACACUUGAAUGAAUACAUGGAUGUUUUGUUAUAGAACAAAAUACUGGAGACCUGCAAAGAGAUUCUACAUCGAUAACUAUCUAAGUAUCAGUUGAUAAUCUCUAAUGUUCGAUAAUGAAAUUAGUUCGUUGACUUGAAGUUAUCAUAGUGCCUUAUAUGAGAACAGUUAUGCUUUGACGGUGUUAGAUGUUUCUCUGCCAAGGGUCGCUAAUACGACAUCGUUCAGGUAUGUCAAGAAUAGUAUGAAGGUUGAAAAUGAUCAAUAAAGGAUUCAUCACUUUUAGAUAGUAAGAGAUUAUGAUCUGCAUUUCAUUCAAUUAAGUCGACAACGAAAUCCUUGGUCAAUUGUACUCAUAAGUCGAAAAGGAGUUUUCGACUUAUAUUGACUUAAUAGUGGAGUGAAAGAUAUGAUCAAUAAUCUAGAUUGACACACUUCCAUAUCUCGUAAUUGAUCGGAUCAUAUUGACAAAGGGAUUAUAGUUUCGUGGUAAAUGAACGAAUUUGGUUUUGUCAUACCACGUGACAUUUUUUGUCACAUGUAUUGACCUUACACAUUGCUAGAUGUUAAUCUGGGAUGACAAUUUAAUUUAUCAAUUUUGAUUAGAUUAAAUAAUAUUUCACAUCAUUAGGCAUCAUGAUCGGGAACAUGAUGAGUCGCACACAAAUGAGAACUAGAAGAUCGUCAUUUGUCAAUUAAUUUAACAAGUGUUGGAUAAAUUAAUUAUUUGGGUUGCUUAUUUAUAGGCCCGAAUUAAUUAAUUAGAUUAAUUAAUUCACGAACCAAAUUUAAUUAAAUGGAUUAAUUAAAUAUUAAACUGAGUUAGGUCAAGCCUGUUUGGGCUUAUGUAAAUAAGUGAUUAGGGUUUUCAAUUUGUAAAGAUUUUUCAUUCUUCUUGGUAGCACAAGAAGAAAAUCCUAAUGCUACAAUCUUGGUCUCUUUGUGGAUUACCGUUGGAGGCUGGACAACUGAAAGCUAUGGGUGGCAGAUUAAAGUUGCUGGAAUGAAAGAAUAGUAAAGUAGUUUGCAAAAUCAAAGUAAGAAUUACAAAGGAGUUUGUAGAAUCAAUGAAAGGUACAAUUUUUAUCACAAUUUCUAUCUAAACACAAAGAGAUCCUUGGUGGGAAUUGAAAUCUGUUUUAUUUUUCCGCUGUGCAUGAUAAGUAGAUUCCCAACGCUACUACUUUUGAACUUAAAUCUGGACUAAUACAUCUUUUGCAUACUUUUCAUAGUCUUGUAGGCGAAGAUCCCCACAAAUAUCUAAAAGAAUUCCAUGUGGUUUGCACAAGCAUGAAAGCCAUUGGAGUAAAUGAAGAGCAAAUCAAAUUGAGAGCCUUUCCAUUCUCCCUGAAAGACUUAGCUAGGGACUGGCUCUACUAUCUACCAUAUGGAAGUCUCACACAUGGGAAGAGAUGAAGAGGAUGUUUAUAGAAAAAUAUUUUCUAGCUUCAAGAGCAGCUAACAUUCGAAAGGAGAUAUGUGACAUAAAGCAGGACAACAGAGAAUUUUUGCAUGAAUACUGGGAACGGUUCAAGAAAUUAUGUGCAAGUUGUUCUCACCAUCAGGUAACGAACAACUUCUCAAUCAAUAUUUCUAUGAAGGUCUUCUGCCAACUGAUAGGAGUAUGAUUGAUGUCGCAAAUGAGGGAGCUUUGGUGGAUAAUAUGUAAAUAGUGAAGGCGUGUGGAAUUUGUUUGGGGAUAGGGCAUCCAACUGACAUGUGCCUAACUCUUCAAGAAAACCCCAUUGAAUAAGUUAAUGUAAUUGGUGGCUUUCCUGGACAACCACAAAAGAGUUAUGAUCCAUACUCUAACACCUACAACCCAGGAUAGAGGGAUCAUCCUAAUCUUAGCUACACGAACCAACAAGUGAACUGACCUUAGCAACAAAACUCUUCAAAUUUCGAGCAAAAUAAGCAGCCAUAUCCUCCUAGACAACAACAAGGCCAAACUUCUAACCCUGGCAUAUCUUUAGAAGAUAUUGUUAAGUCUCUUGCUAUUAACACUUUACAAUUCCAAUAGGAGACAAGGGCAAACAUUCAACGUUUGGAGAAUCAGAUAGGUCAAAUGGCAACUGCAAUCAACCAGCUGCGAUCCCUCAAAUAGUUUUGAACCCAAGGGAAAAUGUAAGUACAAUUGAGUUAAGGACUGGCAAAGAGGUUGAAGCACCAGUGAGGUAGUCUCCACAUCGUCAGAACAAGAAAAUGAGGAAAAUACCAUCGCAACCAAAGGUACUUCCAAGAUGAGGAAGUUUCCUCCCCUUUCUGAGUAUAAACCACUAAAUCAAUACCUCCUUUCCCUCAGGCUUUAUUAGAAUCUAGAAAAGAUGAUCUAAAGAGUGAACUUUAUGAAACUUUCCGUAAAUGUGAGGUAAAUAUUCCAUUGUUACAUGCUCUUAAACAAAUACCCUGCUAUGCUAACUUUUUGAGAGAAUUGUGUACACUUAAAAAGAAGCAGAAACUUAAGAGGUGUAAAAAGAAAAACAUAGGGAAAAAUGUCUUUGCAAUCCUUCAAAGAAAACUCCUUGCAAAGUGCAAAGAUUCAGGCAUGUUUACUAUCCCUUGAACGAUAGGUAAUACUAGGUUCGAGAAGGCCAUGUUAGACUCAGGAGCUUUUAUUAAUGUCAUGCCAUACUCUAUAUACUCUUCUUUAAAACUUGGACCUUUGAAUGAAACUGAUAUUGUAAUCCAAUUAGCUAAUAAAUCUAAUGCCCAUCCUAAGGGUGUAGUUGAGGAUGUUCCUGUAAAUAUUAAUGAUUUGGUUUUCCCCGCUGACUUCUAUGUGCUUGAUAUAGGAUAUAUUGAUCAAGCUAUCCCUAUUUUACUGGGAAGACCAUUCUUAAGCACAUUCAAAACUAAGAUAGAUUUUUAUAGUGGCAUGCUUACUAUGGAAUUUGAUGAUAAAAUCAUUGAAUUUAAUAUUUAUGAUGCCAUGAAAUAUCUUGAUGACAUUAACCCUAUUUAUUCUAUCAAGAUGAUUGAUCAUUUAGAAUUGGAAGUUUUAGAACUUGAUGGGAAAGAUGUAGUGGAAGUUGCCAUUGAUAUUGCCUUACCAGAAACCAUUGUAGCAUUGAAUGCUUUUCCAAAGUUACCAAAGUCAGUUAAAAUUUUGCAUAUUGUAUUAUCAAUUGCUAACGAGAGGCCUUUCCAUGUAGAUUUCUAAGUGGAAAAGGUGAGAACAUGGGGCCUUGGAAAUCCAAUUGAUGCCGAUUAAGGGAAGAAGCAAUAAGUCAAAGGCGCUACUUAGGAGGCAACCUAAGGAGAGUUUGUUUCUUUACUUUUCAUUCCUCUUUUCGUUUUCACUUUCAUAUUUUAGGUUAAAUUUGCUCUCUUCUUGACAUUUUACUUUACAUUGGGGACCAUGUAAGUUUUAAAUGUGGAGGAGGAAAUUUAAGUUGUUUUUAAUUUUUUUUAUUUAGAUAGUGCUUCCGUCUCACAAUUACUUUUGACAAGAAAAGAAAAUUUUUCGAAAAAUUGAGGAGAAGUUGUGGUUUUAAAUGAUUUUUAUUGUAUGUGCUAUUUGCUUGUUUCAAUUAGAAUUUGACGGACUCAUAAUAUGAUUGAAUGAAUGAUCUUCCAACUUAGUGUUAAUUAGUUUAGUUAUUUCCUUUGAGGAUGGUAGUAACUAAAUUUUGUAGACAAAAAGCCAGUGGAAUUUUAAGCCUUUAGUAUGACACAUCCAUAGUCUCACUAUUUUCUUUCAUGAGUGAUUUUUUUCCAUGGAUUUGCUUCUCUAAAACUUGCCUUGAUUCUCUUCGAGGUCAUAUUGAUACAUGCAUGCAUGAACAUGAUUAAGGUCAUCUUUGUUGUAUAAAUUAGCCACCUUAGCCAAAUAGCCUACCCGGUAAUUAAUUUUUCCCUUUGUUGAAUCCCUUUGAGCCUUAUAGCCUUUUCUUUUAUGAACCCACAUUACAAGCUUUAAACCCGGAAAAAUAAUGUCUUUACCCAAGCUGUAGAGCUAGUAGAAUAUUGUUCUUCAUUUUGGUACGUAUAGGAGUGCGAAAGAAAUAAGUGUGGGGAUGUCUAAAGUUUUGGUAGGAUUAUAAUAGUGGAAUGGAACAUGUUCUCAAUUACAAUUCAUAUGUUCCAUUGUUGGUGAUAUUAAAAAAAAUAUAGAAUUUUUUAAAAAAAAAUGAAAAGAAGAAAAAUGAAAAAAGAAUGAUGAAAAAGAAAAAGAAAAGAAAAGAAGCGAUGAAGUUAUGUUCGUGAUUCCUCCUAACAUCACAAAAAAGGGUUGGUUUGCGUGAAAUAUAUGCAAAAAAAGUUGUAAGUGGAAAGAUUUGAUCUUACAUGUUUUACAUAUACAUUUGAGCUGAGUUAAUUCAUCUAUACUCCUCCAGUUUCGAUGGCUUUUGAGUUACAUAUCCAAAUAUUUCCCACCAAAACCCUGAGCCACGUUACAAGCCAUGUAAAAGACCUUAUGAUUUGUGUAAUGCAGGUGAUCUAAUUGGUUGAAAAUGUGAAGAUAUGCAAGCAUAUGGUAGAUCAUGUCUAUUGGAAUGAACUUGAACGAAACACUUACCUUUCAAACACGUAAGAGUCGAGUGCUUAUAACCUAUGAGGGUCUACAUGUUUGGUUUACUCCAUCUUUAUAUGAGAAUACUUGCUAAUUGAUUAUAAGUUGUGUGAGAAUGUUUCUUCAUGAUGUGUUAUGUUUUUUGACAAGUAUGGUUGGUCUAUGUUGAUGGCAUGGCAAUAUUAAUAUUUUGUGAAAGUAAAUUUAAAUUUUACUCAAGGACGAGAAAAAGCUAAGUGUGGGGAAAUUUGAUAAGACAUAAAAUGUCAUGUUUUACAUCCAUUAAUAUUUUUUUCAUUUUUGUGAUUAAUUAAUGUCUAAAAGUACUCAGUACCCUUAUAAUUAGAUUUAGGUUGUGAAUGGAUGGCAAAUAUGGAAUUUAGGAGAAAAAGAGCGAAAAAAGAUCUAUGCAGAUCACGGGGAGUCAUUGGUAACUCAAAGGAUCUUAAGUAUUGUUCAAGAAGAAUAUAAAGAUGACUAGCUUCGAAAGAACAUCUUUCACACGAAGUGCAUUUCUUAUGGCAAGGUUUGUGACAUGAUAAUUGAUGGUGGCAGUUUCAAGAAUUUGGUGUCAACAAAAAUGGUGGACAAAUUGAAUUUGAAGAUGGAGAAUCAUCCUGAUCCUUACAGGCUUCCAUGGCUCUGCAAAGAUAACAAAAUCAAAGUUAACAAGCGUUGUCUUGUUUCUUUUUCUAUUGGCAUGAAAUAUAAAGAUGAAGUAUGGUGCAAUGUUUCCCCUAUGGAUGCUUGUCAUUUACUUCUUGGAUGUCCAUGGCAAUAUGAUAGAGGAACUAUUCAUUGAUGGCUAAAAGAAUGCCUACACUUUCUUUAGAGACGGAGUCAAAAUUAUUUUGGGGACUCUUAAAGAAAAAGCUAUUUCCAAGCCUUCAAAAGCGGAGGAAAAUAAUUUUCUAACUCUUUCGGAUUGCAAAAGAGUUGGAAAUGGGUAUUCAGGCCUAUGCUCUCAUGAUUGUUGAAGAAAAUGAGAUUAAUGAAAAUUUAGCUCAUGUCAUGAAACAGCUUCUUCAAGAAUUUCACGAUUUUAUACGGGAGGAAAUUCCACCAGGCCUUCUACCCAUGAGAGAUAUUCAACAUCAUAUUGAUCUUGUUCCAGGUGAUGUCUUGCCAAAUAAAUUAGCCUACAAGACGAGUCCAAAAGGACACGAAGAGCUACAAAGACAAGUGGAUAAUCUCUUAGCAAAGGGAUUGGUGAAAGAAAGCAUGAGUCCUUGUGAUGUACUAGCUCUCUUAUUUCUGAAAAAGGAUGGUUCAUGGCGAAUGUACCUGGAUAGUAGAGUUAUAAAUAAAAUCACUAUUGACUAUCACUUUCCUAUUCCUCGACUGGAUGAUCUUCUUGACUAAUUUUUUGGAGCAUCUAUAUUUUCGAAGAUUGAUCUUCGCAACGGCUAUCAUCAAUUUUGAAUAAGACAUGGAGAUGAGUGGAAAAUAGCUUUCAAAACACGUGAUGGUCUCUAUGAGUGGAUGAUUAUGCCAUUUGGUCUUUCCAAUGCUCAAGCACCUUUAUGCGCUUAAUGAAUCAUGUCUUCAAACAUCUCAUUGGAAAAUUCGUUGUGGUAUACUUCAAUGAUAUUCUCAUCUACAGCAAAAAUGAAGAACAACACUUGCAUCAUCUUCGUGAGUUCUUCAACAUUUGCGAGAGCAAGGUAUAUGCCAACUUUAAGAAAUGUAGAUUAUUCACUGACAAUCUUAUAUUUUUGGGUUAUUUUUUUUCGAUGGAGGGGAUCAAAAUGGAUCCAAGGAAAGUUGAGGCUAUCUUGAAUUUGUCGAGAAUUUACUUAAAAAUGUACAGGGAAAAUAAAAAUAAUUUCAAUUCCCACCAGGAUUCAUCUUUGUAUUUAGAUAGGAAUUGUGAUAAAGUUAUACCUUUUCUUAAAUCUACAAACUCCUUUGCGUUAUCUUUGUUCCAACAACUUGGAUCUGCCUCCCACAACUGUCUAAUUGUCCAGCCUCCAAUGAAUUCCACACAGAGAAUAGAUUGCAGCCACCAGGGUUUUCUCUUCUUGUGCUAGCAAGAGUUAUGAGAUUCUCCAUAGAUUGAAAACUCUAGUCGUGCAUUUAUGUAAGCCCAAACGAGCUUGACCUGGUCCGGUCCAAUAUUUAAUUAAUCCAUUUAAUUAAAUCCGGUCCAUGAAUUAAUUGAUUUAAUUAAUUAAUUCGGACCUAUAAAUAACCAAUUCAAUUAAUUAAUUUAUCCAAUAAUUGUUAAUUAAUUAAUUGAAAAUUUACAAUCUUCCAAUUCUCUUUUGUGUGUGACCCAUUAGGUUCUCGACCACGAUGCCUAAUGACGUGAAAUAUUAUUUUGAUCUAAUCAAAAUAGAUAAAUUAAAACACCCAUUUAAUUUAUAACCAAUUCACACUCGCCGUCUCAGAUUGACAUCUAGCAAUGUAUCAGGGUAACACAUGUGACGAGAAAUGUCACGUGGUACGACAAAACCAACCUUGUUCAUUUACCAUGAAACUAUAAUCCCUUCGUCAAUAUGAUCCGAUCAAUUACGAGAUAUGGAAGUGUGUCAAUCUCAAUUAUUGACCAUAUCUUUCAUUCUACAAUUAAGUCAACAUGAGUUGAAAACUCCUUUUCGAUUUAUAAGUAUAUCUUGGCCAAGAAUUUCGUUAUUAACUUAAAUGAAUGAAAUGCAGAUCACAAUCUCUUACUAUCUAAGAGUGACGAAUUCUCUAUUGGUCAUUCACAAGCUUCAUAUGGUUCUUGACAGAACCGAAUGAUACCGUAUUAGCAGCUCAUGGCAGAGCAACAUCCAACACCAUCAAAGUAUAACUGUCCUCAUACAAGACACUAUUACAACCUCAAGUCAAAGGAUCAAUUCCACUACCAAACGUUAGAGAUUAACUACUGACACUCAUAUAGUUAUCCAUAUGGAAUCUCUUAGCAGCUCUAAUGUUUCAUUCUAUAACAAAACAUCCACACGUUCAUUUAAGUGUCACCACACUUUAGCUUGUGAGAUCAGCUACUUUUUUCACAAGUAAAAAAUGUCACACGUGAUGAUCUAACAGUAAUAACGAUAUCCGUAUUUCGUUAUUACUUAUAACCAUGGAUUAUUCAAGAUCCAAUCAUAUGUAAUUUGUAUCUUACAAUCACAACUCCUUGUGAUUAACAAAUAACUUAAACUUAAAUCUUUGGACUCUAUUAUUUAAUGUUAUUUAUUAGAAUAUUAAUUUAAAUAAAUAAUAGAUCUUGCCAAAAAUAAAUGCAUUAAACAUAUUAGAAGUGUUUACAAUGUAAAUCGAUUGGAUCUAGGAUAUAACACCUACAAACUCUCACUUGCAUUAGAUCCAAUCGCUCAUGUAUCUAAUACCAUAAGCGUCUACAUGACAAUCAUGUUUCUAUUGUGAUAAUGGCUUUGUCAAUGGAUCUGUAAUAUUGUCAUCCGUGGGAACUCGCUCUAUCUUUACGUCAUUUCUUUGUAUAAUCUCACUGAUGUGAUGAUAUCGCUUUAGCACAUGUUUGGAUCAUUAUGAGACCUCGAUUCCUUGGCUUGUGCGAUGGCUCCAUUGCUUUCACAAUACAAAGGUAUGAGAUCCUCAAUGCUAGGAACGACUCCUAGUUGAUUAAUGAACUUCUUGAUCCAGACAACUUCCUUCGCUGCUUCAGAAGCAGCAAUGUACUCGACUUCUGUUGUUGAAUUAUUGGUUGCCUCCUGUUUGGAACUCUUCCAACUAAUCACUCCAUUAUUGAGAGUAAACAUAUAUCCUGAUUGAGACUUGCUAUCAAGAACACAUCUUUAGCCCCCUCCAAUAGGGGACGCCACUUGGCUGCAACAUUGCUAAUUGAAUUUUAUUGAACCCCGUAAAAUGUACAAUUCAGUAUAGAUAGCAAUACAAAGAUUACAAAAGAUUAUUAACAUACAAAGUACGAGUAAGUACAUAAGAUUCAAAGGCAUGAAUUUCUAUGAUACAUGUAAAUAUUCUCCCUUAGAAAGUUGCAGGUUAUUGUUAUACUUCGCAACUCAUUAACAUUAUUAAUCAUGAGCAGUAGAAUUUGGUGCACUUAACUUUUGAAAAGGUGAAUAUAUACCAGAACAGAAGUUCAGAAAGGUAGGAGUUAUAUGCAGACAGUUAUGGCAAUUGAAAACUCCUGAAUUCUUUUAUAAUUGUCCACAAUUCCCAUUAUCUGAAGUGCCAUAAGUCUGCUAUAAGAGAUUGCUAUCAACCACCUCAACGUUCAUAUCCUGUAUUACAAAAACGAAUGCACAUCUACUGAAUUUAUUGCUUCACCUGGAUAGAUCAUUUAAUGAUACACAUUUUAGAACGACAACCUUUAUUUUUGAAUGCUGUCAUGGCCUGAUGGCGCUGUCUUAGACAGAUGGCUCAACAUAUGUGAUUGUAUCUACGAACACAACACCCCCAAAUCAAACAGCAAUGUACGGUGAGAAUAUAUACAACCACAAAGAAUUAAUACUUAACAUUGUAGUUUUAUGAUAACCACAUAUUAAUAUGCUAACAAAAUUACAAGAUUUAACAAUAAAAUUAUUUCAUUACCGCUAUUUCUCCAUCAUCGUACUUUUCUUCAAUGACAUCCUUUAAAUCCUCUAACCGGCCCAUCAAAAUAAAACCUGUAAUGUCUUGAACAGUUACUUGAUUCUCAUAACAUUUACCUGCAACCAAACAUGUCAAGUUAUCCUAAAAAGAUGCUGAAAGUUCUUUUUCAGUUAAAGAACUUAUCUUCAUUUUCUAUGUCACAAGAACCACAUUAUAAAACACAAGAAAAUCUUAAGAUUAUUACAUCGGUUUUUGUCAACUUUGUAUUUGUCAGUAUUUUUUUCAGCAAACAAAUACACAAAAACAUUCCCAACAAACUCAAAUUUCUCAUUCACAUCAACAACAAAGAUCCAAUCUUCCUUAGCAAAUUUCUACCUAUUCUUCACCAACAAAACACAUUAGUUAGCAUAAAGAACUCAAAAGGAUUCACAAUUUUCAUCAUAAAGCUGCAUAUAAGUUCAUGAAACCCAAACCUUUGAAGAAGAUCUGCUCAAACUCUUAGAAAGCCUAGGCCAAUUUAUUCCCUACAGUAACAGUGCAGAGGUCCUCGCGUAUAAGAGGAAAAAAAAACAGAAGAAAGAUGAAUAAUUAAGAAAACUAGAAAAUUAAUCCGUGGAGAAUUUUCUGAUUGCAUUCAUUCUAAUAAUUAUGACUGUACAGCAAGAUACAUAUAUAUAGUGUUACAAAAGAAUAUUAUCUAACAAAUUCAGUUAGGCAAGCUGUGUAAAUAUAAUUAAAAAGAAAAAGGAAAAUAGUUGAAUAUAGGCUGCACAAAGAAUGUAUAACAGAAUCCUAAUAACCUACAAAGCUUCUAGAAUUCUUUCUGUUCACGUGCUCUUGCCACUUGCUGAUUUUCAUUUUCUAAUAACCCCUCGCAAGAUGGAGAGUAGAUGUCUUCUACUCCCAUCUUGAACGAGUGAGCAUAAAACUUGGAGAACUUAAUGAUUUGGUUAAUAGAUCUGCAAUUUGCAUCCCACUACUGACAUGUGCAGUGACUAUAGUCCCAUUUUGGAUCUUAUCUCGUACAAGAUGGCAUUCAAGCCCAAUGUGCUUGGUUCUCUCGUGAAAGACAGGAUUUGAUGUUAUAUGGAGUGCAGCUUUGUUAUCAUAGAAGAUAGUUGCUGAUUGCGGGUGUUUGAUUUGGAAAUCAUUUAUCAGAUAUCUCAUCCAAGUUAACUCACAGCACAAAUUUGUCAUUGCUCAGUAUUCUGCUUCGGUAGAAGAUCUGGACACAACCCCUUGCUUCUUGGACUUUCAGAAGACCAAAGAAGAUCCUAUAAACACACAAUAACCAGAAAUCGAUCUCCUUGUAUCUUGAUAUGCUCCCCAAUCUGAAUCACAAUAACCCAUUAAUUGAAGAUCUAUUUGAGCAGGAUAGAAUAAGCCCUGUCCGGGAGCUGCUUUAAUGUACCUUAAGACCCUAUGGGCUACAUUAAGAUGAGGUAAUCUGGGACAGUCCAUGAAUUAACUUAACAAUUGUACUGAGUAAGACAAAUCAGGUCUUGUUAUGGUUAAAUACAAUCGCCUCCUCCUGUAAAUCGAUGGAUUAGAAAGAAGUUUACCUUCGUACUUGGAAAGCUUUAGAUUUUGAUCAUGUGGGAUUCUAGCUGGUGUUGUACCAAUUUUACCUAAAUCUUCCAAAAUGUCAAGUGCAUAUUUUCUCUGGCAUAUAUAAAUUUCUCGAUCUGACCUCGCCACUUCAACUCCAAGGAAGUAUUUCAAUUGUCCCAAGUCUCUGAUUAUGAACUUAUCAUGAAGAGUAGUUUUGGGAGUGUUAAUGGUAUCCAUACAACUACUGGCCACUAUGAUAUCAUCGACAUAUACUAGGAUAGCAGUGAAGGAAUGAUUUGUGGUUCUUGUGAAUAAGCUAUAAUCUGCCUUGGACUGUGUAAAACCUUGUCCAACAAUGAAGUUAGACAAUUUAUAAUUCCAUUGCUUGGAAGCUUGUUUGAGUCCAUACAAACUUUUCUUCAAUUUACAAACCUUUGAUCUAUCGGCAUUAGGAUAUCCUGGCUUCUCUAAGUCUCCAUGUAGGAAUGCAUUGUUCACAUCAAACUGGUAUAGAUGCCACCCUUUUAUUACUGCUACAGCCAACAAUAUCCGCACUAUAACCUGUAUCGCUACAGGAGAAAAGGUUUCAUGAUAGUCAAGACCCUCCUGUUGUGUAUAUCCUUUAGCUACCAACCUUGCUUUAUAUCUUUCUAUAUUUCCAUCAGCAUUAAAUUUAAUCUUAAAAACCACUUGCAACCUAUAGCCUUUUUACCAGGAGGUAGGUCAAUGAUGACAAAACUAUCAUUUAAUUCAAGGGCAUCUAUUUCAGCUCCAUGGCACUACACCACUCAGGAGGCUCUAAAGCUUCCUCAAAAUUUUUAGAUUCUGUAUGUGUGCUAAUGGAAACAACAAAUGCUUUGUGUGGAGUGGAGUGGAGAGGUUAUGAUAAGAUAAAGUAGCUCUUAGAGGAAAGGGAUUACCUGAAGAAAUUGUGACCUUUUGCCUGUCCAAUUCUUGUGAAUGGAGAAGUAGAGCUGCUUGUUGACAAACAAAAUCCUGUAAGUGUGUGGGAAUCUUUUUUAAUUUUGUUUGACCUUCGAGGUAAAGGCUGAUUUGAGAACUGGUUUUGAGUUGGAGUUGUGUUUGGUUCUGAUGUACUUGGAGGUUCAAAUGGCUCAACAUUUAGUUCUUGUGUGGGCAUUGGAGAGUUUGUGGUGUCUGAUGAAGUGUCUGUUGUUUGAGUUUGAUCGGGGGUUGCUGUAGAGUUAGUGAAUGUAGGAUUUGGAUUGUUUAUUGCAAAUUCUGACUGAGUGGUAAUUGGAGUUCGAGAAAUGAAACUUUGAGCUAGAUUUGGGGAGCAAACAAAGCUGGUAUUAGUAGCUUGUUUGUAUGGGAACACAUUGUCAAGAAAAAUCACAUUUCUAGAUAUGGAGGUUUUCUUUGUUUCCAAAUCCAUUAAUUUGUAACCCUUGAUCCUGAAGGGGUAUCCCAAAAAUAUGCACCUCCUAGCUCUAGGGUCAAACUUAUGUUUACCAUUCACUAGAGUUGUAGCAAAGGCAAGACAUCCAAAAACUUUGAGAUGAGUAUAGUUAGGCUUUGAUUUGAAAAGAAUCUCAAAAGGGGUUUUGUUGUCCAGAAGAGGUGUCGGGGUUCUAUUUAUGAUGUACACAGCUGUGAGUAUACAGUCACUCCAAUAUCUUUAUGGGACAUCACUUUGGAAUUUCAAAGCUCUUGCCAAGUUUAAGAUGUGUUGGUGUUUUCUUUUGGCUACCGCAUUUUGUUGGUGGGUUUCUACACAUGUUCUUUGGUGAAUGAUUCUUUUUUGUAAAUAAAAUUGUUUCAUGUCAAAUUCACCUCCAUUCUCCAAUCUAAUGAUUUUGACUUUAGUUCCAAAUUGUGUUUCAACCAUUGAACAAAAUCCUUGUAAAGCAUUACUAGCAUCAUAUUUCAAUUUCAAUAAAUGAGUCCACGGACAUCUACUAAAGUCAUCUACAAUACUUAGGAAAUAUCGAAAACCUUCAUAGCUAUUCUCAUUACAUGGUCCCCAAAUAUCACAAUGUAUGAGGUCAAAACAUUUUUCUGAUCUAUCUUCACUGGUAUGAAAUGGCAAUCUAUGUAAAUUGUCUGAAGGGCAAAUAAAGCAUGGUUGUUUAGUAGAUUUUGGAAUAUGGUCAAGCUUGGAAUAUGUGCCAGAGAUCAAAGUCCUCAGCAUUAUUAAAAAUGGUAGAAGCAGAUGCGGGCAGUUUAUGGGUGAUAAGAGCUAACUUUUUUGUCGAAGCUGAAGAAGGCAUUCCUUUUUGUAGUAGGUGAUAGAAGCGUUGCUUUACUUCACUCAUUCCAAUCAUUUUCCAAGUCAGAAGGUCCUGUAUAAAACACAAGUUAGAGAGGAAAAUAAGACAACAGUUCAUGGUUUGUGCUAUCCUUCUAGCUGAAAUGAGAUUAAAAGAAAAUGAUGGGACACAGAGAACUUCAUCAAGGAUUAGAGAUUCUAAAAACUUCACUGUCCUAAUGUGAGUGAUAGGAACUUACGCACCAUUUGGGAAAGCUACUGAAUAAGAAACUUUAACUUUGAUUGCGAUAAAAAAAGAGGUCGCACAUAUCAUAUGAUCUCUAGGUCCUGUAUCUAGUAUCCAAGGAGCUGUAAACGAGUUAGAAAAUUUACCGUUACAAGCAGAAAGACAUAAAGAAGUACCAGAGAUUUUGGGCAUGUUGUCAUUGUUAGGAUGAGGCGGAAUAACAGCUUGAACUUGAUUUACAGAAUGAAUGGAAGUUUGCUGACUUAGUGGCUUCAGCAGUGCCAUGAGCUGAGCAUAUUGCUAAUGAGUUAAAGACAUUUGGCUUGUGCCAUUACCUGUUCUUGACUAGAAGGUAUAAGUGUAGUGGCUUGGUUAGCAAAAGAUGCCGAGGAUUUGUUUCUUCCAUCUGUUUUGUUGCCUGGUGGAUACCCAUGUAAUUUGUAACACUUGUCCAUAGUGUGGCCAGGCAUUUUGCAGUAGGAGCAGUUGAUUUAUUCGAAUUAGCCUUAAAGCAUCUCUCAAGGGAGUGCCUAGCCAUCUUGUAGUAGGUGCAAUAGUAUUUGUCUCUUUUCUGAACGGAUGGGUUUCUCCUUCUAUCUUUGAAACUUCCUUUUACCAAGAAUGCCAUAGGAUCAUUGAUCAUCCCAUCAGAGCAUAUCUGUUUUCUUCUCUUUUUGCUUAUAAUGGAGUAUGCCUCAUUCAAACAAGGAAAAGGCUUAAUCAGCAAAAUCUGCACCUUAAGUUCCAUGUAUGAAUCAUUUAGACCUAUUAGAAAUUUCAUAACCCAAUCUCUCUUUUGAUUUUGCAUAACAAUUUUUAAGUCCCCACAGGAACAACUAGGGAUUGACUCAUAAUUCAUUAACUCAUCCAAGAGACUCUUAAGUUUGGAGAAAUAAACACUUACAUCAUCUUGAUUCUGGACUAGAGAUGUUAUACUUUGAUUAACUUCAUAUACUCUCGGUGCGUUCUGUUGCACAAAACGUUGUUCAAGAUCCAACUAGAGUUCACGAGCCGUCUAUACAUAUGUUGUGCGGCACUUGAUAGCUACUACCAUUGUGUUUUGCAUCCAAGUGAUCACAAUAUCAUUGCACCGUAACCAAUGCUCCAUGAGGGGAUCGUUUUGGUCUGAAGGUUCAUGAAUACUGCCAUCAAUGAAACCCAACUUCUUUUUAAUUCUGAGAGCUCUUUUUAUCGAACUAGCCCAGGUAUAGUAGUUGCUUGCAUCCAGUAUAUGAGAGACUAACACAGCACCACUUCCAUCACUGCUACUAAUGUAAUAAGGACUGCUUGGUAAGAUAGGAUCAUGAGAAAAAAUUGCUGAUUCACUAGAUGAGUUUGCUUUUAAAUUUGGAUUUGGAUUUGGAUUUAGAUUUUCAGGAGAAUUUGGAUCAGAGAUUUCAGUAUCCACCAUUGUUGGCUCUGAUACCAUAUAAGGAAAAAAAAAACAGAGGAAAGAUGAAUAAUUCAGAAUAGUAGAAAGUUAAGCCCUGGAGAAUUUCCUGAUUUCAUUCAUUCUAAUAAUUAUGACCGUGCAGCAGGAUACGUAUAUAUAGUGUUACAAAAGAAUAUUAUCUAACAAAUUCGAUUAGCCAAGUUGUGUAAAUAUAAUUAAAAAGGAAAAGGAAAAUGGCAGAAUAUAGGCUGCACGAAGAAUGUAUAACAGAAUCCCAAUAACCUCCAAAGCUUCUAGAAUUCUUUCUGUUCACGUGCUCUUGCUACUUGCUGAUUUUCAUUGUCUAAUACCGCGUCCUCUGUUGAUAUCAGAACAGCGCCGGAACUCCUCUCUGUUGGUGGUGCUGGCAGAAAAGUAACAUCCUCAUCAUCGUCCAACAUCUGAUUCUUUGGUGCAUAAAACGUCGAGUACCAGAGAAGAGCAGAAUAUAGAAGCCAUUGUGAUGGACAUGUAUGAAAUUUGUAUUCAAAGAAAUAAAUUGUAGGUAAUUUAAUUGCCUAUAACUUAUUUAAAUGGAAAUUGUCGAUUAACUGUGUUUCAUUAAUUUAAUUUUUGACAUAGAAAAUAUUAUAUUUGUUUAGUUUUUAAUUCACCAACUCUUACAUUUUUACCAAUUCUUACAUUUUCUACAAUUUUCACUUUAUUUGUCCUAAUUUUAAAUUUUUAGAACGUAAAAAUGAAAUUAUUUUUACAAAAUAAAAUAUUGUUUUGCAUUGGAAGAACAUUUUCUUUUUUGCAAUAUUUGGAAUUAUUUUUCUAUUUUUUACGUUUUACACAAUUUUAUUGUCAGCAAGAUUAUUUAUUUUAAAUAUUCUAAAGCUCAAUAAAAACUUGAAAUAAUCUAAAACAUUACGGAAGGACUAUAUUUAUUCUAUAAAAUUUAAUUGAUACUUAUUAUUUCUCUUAAAAUUACCAAAGAAUAUUUUAGUAACUAGGUAAAUGUUUAAUAAAUGCUUAUUUUUUCAAAAUAUAUUCCGGUGGAUUUUUUUCUUUUGGUGCCCACUUAAUAAAUUUUUAUUUUUGCUGAAAUAAUUUACUAACAAAUUUUCUCCAUUGCUAAUUAAUUUAUUAUUUUAUAUAGUUUCCAACGAGAAACAUCCGGACGUGAACCCGCGUAGGUCAACGCUAAGGAACCCACGAACAAGAUUGAAAUCUUCCCAAGAAAGUCAAGGCAAGGUUUUGGAUUAAAUUCAAUAGAUUUGGAACCAAGCAACCCGAAUCGUCGACGAUGUACGGACCUCUUGAUUACACAAAAAUACAGAAUCUCAUCCGGUUGAUUUGAACGCCACAAGAUUAAAUCUUGAUAAGUUCUUGAAUUGUUCAAAUGUAGAACAAGAGAUGAAAGCAAUAUAGUCUCUCAAAUUACGAAAAAUGUCAAAAGGUUCUUACAAUUGAAAAUAAAAUAGUAUUUAUACUAGGUCUAAAAAACUAGGUAAAAACGUGCAUAAUAUUUCAAAUAUGGCAAGAAAUCUACUAAGUAUCAAAUUCUAUCAAAAAUAGAAAAUUCGCAAUUAAAAUAAAAAAAAUUGCGUCAAAUUUUAACAAUGCGGUUGCAUGGUGUAAAAUCAUGCGGCCACAUGGAACAUUCGAAAAUCUCGAAUAAUUCCCUGCCUCACUCCGUGCGACCGUAGGACGGUUUUGAGCAUGCGGUCGCAUGGUUCUUCUCUCCAGCUCCAUCUUCAGCUGCUUGGAUCGUGUUGGUCCAAUUGGUUUCGGUCUUUGACCCGAACACGAAACUUGUCCCAUUUUGAGUCCUGAACAUGAUUUCAUUGAUGGUUGUCUUGACGAGUAAUCCUAUCGCCUCUUUCACUUGCUUUGUCCUUGCUCGUGUCAUAGGUCCACCUUCGACUUUCAACGGAUCUUUCCCCGGGCUUGACGUUGGACUUGAUUUGGUUGCUUGCGGCUCCUAGAUCACAUCAUCCCCUCUCUCUUCGAAAGGAUUCGUCCUCAAAUCUGAACUUGCAGCAAAGAGAAAAAGAUCAGAUAUAUUAGAAGUUGCCGAAACGUUAUACUCACCUGGACGAUCCAAUUUGUAUGCAUUGUAAUUAAUCUUCUCAACUACUUGAAACGGUCCAUCUCCCCGUGGUAACAACUUUGAUUUUCUUUGCUCUGGGAACAGCUCUUUUCUGAAGUGCAUCCAAACCCAAUCUCCUAGUUCGAAUGCGAACAUUUUUCGUGCCCUUAUUUGCUUGCUCCGCAUAGGGCUUGCUUUUCUUCUCAAUUUGUUCCCGUACCUUUUCAUGGAGUGACUUCACCAACUCGGCCUUUUCUUUUUCUAUCCAAGCUACCUCGUUCAUUAAUAGGAAAAGGUAUUAAAUCCAUAUGUAUUAUAGGAUUAAAAUCGUAAACAAUUUCAAAAGGAGAAAACGACGUGGCGGAGUGUGUGGCCCUAUUAUAUGCAAAUUCGAUGAAAGGUAAGCACUCUUCCCAAUUCUUCAUUUUUUUAUUAACUACGGUGUGCAAAAGUUGUGUCAUAGUCCUAUUCACUACUUUAGUUUGGCCAUCUGUUUGUGGAUGAGAAGUUGUAGAAAAUAGUAGUUUCGUGCCUAACUUACUCCGCAAGACUCUCCAGAAGUGACUAAGGAACUUAAUAUCCGUAGCUGACACUAUGCUUUUAGGUACCCCAUGCAAGUGCACAAUUUCUUUAAAGAACAAAUCUUCAAUGUUAGUGGCAUCAUCAGUUUUGUGACAUGGAAUAAAAUGUGUCAUUUUACUAAACCUAUCCACCACUACAAAAAUUGAAUCUUGCCCCUUUUUAGUCCUAGGCAAAUCUAACACAAGGUCCAUUGAAAUAUCUACCCAGGAUUCACUAGGUACUGACAAAGGUGUAUACAGUCCAUGAGAUAAGACCCUAGAUUUGCCCUAUCUAAAUUUUAUGCAUCGACUACAAACCCUUCCUGCAUCAACUUUCAUUUUAGGCCAAUAGAAAUAUUCAGUCAAUAUCUCUAAAGUUUUUACUACCCUAAAGUGACCUAUAAGUCCCCCACUAUAUGCUUCUCUAACCAAUAGUUCAUGCAUAGAGCAAUUAGGAAAGCAUAAUUUACUCUCCCGAAAUACGUAUCUCUCAUGCUUAAAGAACUUAUCUAUAGCCCCAUUGUCACAUGAAUUGUAAAUGUCGAAAAAAUUAGAAUCAGUAACAUACAUAUCCUUAAUAUACUCAAAACCAAGCAAUUUUGCAUCUAAAGUAGUUAGAAGCACAUACCUGCAUGACAAUGCAUCUGCUACUACAUUUUCCUUAUCUUGUUUGUAACGGAUGACAUAUGAAAAAAGUUUCGAUGAAUUCCAUCCAGUGUGCAUGUCGUUUGUUCAACUUACCUUGACCCCGCAAAUGUUUCAGUGAUUCAUGAUCUAAAUGAAUUACAAACUCUUUCGGCCAUAGGUAAUGCUGCCAUGUUUCCAAAGCUCGAAUAAGUGAAUAGAGUUCCUUGUCGUAUGUAGGAUAAUUGUGAGCCGCACCACUUAGCUUUUCACUAAAGUAUGCUAUAGGUCUCUUAUCCUGCAUUAAGAUUGCUCCUAUAUCUAUUCCUGAUGCAUCAUGCUCAAUCUUGAAAGUUUUGUCAAAGUUAGGAAGUGCUAAAAUUGGUGCUUUACACAAACAAUCUUUGAUAGUGUUGAAUGCAUGUUCUUGCUCUAACUCCCAAUGAAAUCCUAUAUUUUUCUUGACAAUUUCAGUUAAGGGUGUGGUAAUUGUGCUAAAAUCUCUAACAAAACGCCUAUAAAAACUAGUCAAUCCAUGAAAACUUCGAACCUCGGUUAUGUUCUUAGGUGUUGGCCAAUCCUUAAUAGCUUUUAUUUUCUCUUCAUCUACCUCUACACCAUUAACACUAACCAAAAAGCUUAAGAAUACAACCUAUCCAUGCAAAAUGUAUACUUUUUAAAAUUGGCAAAAAGUUGUUCCUUUCUUAAAAUCGCAAGCACACAUUUUAGAUGUUCCACACGCUCAUCAAGACUCUUGCUGUAACGCCCCGAAUUCUUUAGCAACCCGGAACGUUACCAAACGUGAAUUGAUUAAUAAAGUGCUUGAGGCAAAUACAUUUUAAUAUAACGAGGAAUUCAGUAAAAAUUGAACAACCUUAACAAAAGGUAAAUUAAAUUAAAUAACAUAUGCGGAACAAUUUGGAAUCAUAUCUUUUAUCAAACAUUAAUAAAAGUAGUUCUAACAAAUAAUAAAAAUAGGACUAAUUGAAAGUUAUGACGUGACUCACAAUUGAGUCUAAAUUUAAAAAUAAUAAUAAUCAACUGUUAAUAAAUAUUCUAGUGUUUUUAAAAAUUAAAGUACUUCAUGAUGGAGAUCCAUUGGUCCAAUAUGCAUCCAUCCACCGCCGUCCAGCAUACUAAUUUCUACCUGAAAAUUUUAAAUAGAGAGGGAUGAGUAUAACGAAUUAUACUCAAUGAGAUACUUGCUACUCCACAUUCAAAUCAAACGUGAAAUUAUGCAUAAAUUCUCUUACCAACAUAACAUGAGAAUUAUCACACCAUGACAAAUGAUAAUUCAAGCAAGCGCUGCAAAUAACGUGAAGGCUAAAUUGUGCCUUAAACUGUAUCAUGAUUUCUCCCAAAGGAGCUCUGAACUGGAGUAAUUAAAUCCAUACAUAACAACGUAUUUGAAAAGAUGUGGACAAACCACUAAUAGCACUGAGUAUCUCACCUUUUGAAGAUGAACGUGAAAAAUAAAAUUGCUGAAAACGUGAUUCUUUAUUGCGAUUCCAAGGCCUUAAAAAGGCUUAAUAAUAUGGAGAAAUAUUUUAAAGAGGAGAAGAGAAUAAAGACGUGCAGAAGAAGAAUGAUGAAUUAAUGACUGAAUGCUUGAGGUUUAGUGCUAUAUUUAUACUAAACCAUGGUGUAGGGUAAUCACGUGGGAAGUGGAAUUUUGCUAAGAUUUGAACUCUAAAUUUCCAUGCACAUCACAUAAGUUAGUUUAGAAUUCUGAUCCCAUAAAUUAGUUUGAAAUUCUGAUUGGUGGUUUCUUAUGGGAUUCUGCCGAGUUUUAUAUCAGAUAAGGAAAGGAUAAAGAUAAAGAGGCUGCAUGACCUUUACACACGUGGACAGAUCUUCUAUUUUGAUGAAUCUGAUUGUUUAUUGGUUUUGAUAAGUUCAAAAAUCAGCUACAAUUAUAAUAAGGAAAAGGACAAAGAGGAGUGAAUCUGAUUGUUUGCUGCUUGAAUUCACACGUGGGCUGGGAAACCAAAUUGGCCUCCUAUUUGCACAUUUUAAUAAAAUAAAUAACUAGUUAAUCUCCUGUUUUGAUCAAAAUAAAUGGAAGAGUGUGUCAAAUGAAAUUUCUAUACAACUUAACUAGUUUAAUUAAUUAAAGUCCUAACUAUUCUAAUACAAUAAUUAUUAGAAGACUUUAUCAUAAUCCAAAUCCUAUAUGAUUAAGAAUAAUAAUUUCUAUCUUAAUUAAAGUAGAUUAGUAUUACAAGUAACCAAUAAUUUAUUAUAAUAAAGAGACUUUAUCCUUUGCACACGUAAACACUAGGAUAAAUUUAGUUUCCUUAUUAUAUUUGUUAAACAACUUAAAUGGAUAACUAAUAAUCUCCUAAUGGCCGAAACAAACUAUUUGCAUACUAAAUAAAUUAGAAUUUCAUUUAUACCUUGAUUCUUCCAUUGAUUCCAUCUUAAUUCAACUUAUUCAAAAUAUCAUUUUCUUAAUCCUUAUAUAUAUAUAUUUAAUUAUUAUCUAUCAAAGGAGUCCAAUAUUGAUAUAGUAAUUUAGCACGAAUUAAUAACUAAUAUUAUUAACUAAGUAGUUUUCUUAAUUGGCUAUAACUCAAGUUUAACGAAUCCAAAUUGAAUUUUUCUUGAGUCCAUAAUUCAUCAUUUAUUACGAGUUUCAAAAUGAGCCCAAUAUUGAUAGGGUAAUUCUAACUCCUUCAAUAAUUAACUAUUCGGCCUAUUUAAUAAAGGUAUAAAAUCUGAAACUUAUUUUCACUUUGGUCCCUCAACUAUAAAGAUAUUCACAUAGAUCCAAAUUAACUAUAGAGAUAACCAAUUAACUUGUAUAAGGACUUAACUAAACAUUGCAUUCCUAUUAAAUAAAUUAAUGCUAAGUAAAAAUUUGGGAUUUUAC
rnacentral:lncRNA from 1 species